rnacentral:lncRNA from 1 species
AGCUUUGUGUUGAAAGGUAUAUGUUCACAAUGUAUUCCGGAUGCUCUUAUCAUAGGAUUUUAUCCUUCGGGAAUGUGUUCAAAGCAUAUAUUGGGUAUUAAAAUGUUAUGACUUCAAGUCAUGUUUCAAGUGAAGGCUAUUAUGCCAAAUUGUGUAAGAAAUCUCAAGGUACUUAAGACUCUUAAUUGCUCAUAUGUGUACUAAAUAUCGGGAUUAAAGAUUCUUUGUUGUCAAUAAUCUAUAAAGAUGCUUGAAAGUAGAAGUAGUGAGUAGUUGAUAUAAAGUGUGGACAGCGUGCAAAUAAUGAAAGUUAUACUUGUGGCUAAUAGCGUCAAUGAAAUGAAAUUAUGUGUGAAAGAUUAUGAAAUGAGCCCUGGUUCAAUUAUUCCAAAUUGACUCCGAAAAUAGAAUUGUCCAAAAGCUUAUGUACUCAAGUCAUGUCCAAAUGUGGUUGUUCUAACUAAUGUUAUGCUUGGUAGGUAUUUCUAAUAUGUUGUGAGUUCUUACAUAUUCAAGAGUUGAAAUUGUGUAUUGCCCUUUUGGGGGAGAGGUAUUUCAAGAGUAUUCUAUAGGAUGAUGUUUAUGAUGACAAUCCUUAAAGAAAAGAAAUGAAAGUGUGGAAUAUGAUAUGCGGCCACAGUGCCAUGAAUGAAGAAUAAUAAGUAUGGCCAAGGGAGCCAAUGAAAUAAUGAUGUUUAAGUAGUUGAAAAUACUAAUGAAGUGAUAUAUGGUGUGAAAAUGUUAUGAGAUGAACGUAUUCGUAUUUGUGUUUCCAAUGUGCUAUAAGCUCCUACGCCCUCAUGAGGAGAGGCUUAGGUGUACCUACAUAUUUUAAAUGUUCUUGAUGCCCUGUGAUCAUCCAUGGCAAGUGCAAGUAAGUGAUAGUAUGAACAUGGAAUGUGGCCGUUUUUCAAAAUGAGAAUUAUGAGGUGUUGUAUGUCCCAAUGGCUUCAAUCAUAGUAUGUAUGCUUCUAAAAUAAUAAAUGUAAAUGACUUCGAUGUUAAGUCCCAAAAAAUCAUGAACUUAGCUAAUGAUCUCAAGAUGACAAGUGAGUGAAUAACGAGAUAAAAGGGAGAUGUCCUAUGCUAAAUGGUGAUGAAUCUUGUGAAAAUGAGUUUGGGCCAUGUGCCAUUGAAAUUAACUAAUAUAAUGANNNNNNNNNNNAUGUAUUGUAUAGGUGUUACUGUGAACAGUCUAUGAAACCCACAUAUGUAUUGUAUAGGUGAUACUGUGAACGGUCUAUGGAAUGCACAUGUGUAUUGUAUAUAUGAUACUGUGAACUAUCUAUGAAACGCACAUGUGUAUCGUGUAAGUAAACACUGUGAACGGUCAAUGAAACGCACAUGUGUAUUGUAUAGGUGAUACUGUGAACGGUCUAUGAAACGCACAUGUAUAUUGUAUAGGUGAUACUGUGAACGGUCUAUGAAACGCACAUGUGUAUUGUAUAGGUGAUACUGUGAACGGACUAUGAAAUGCACAGGUGUAUUGUAUAAGUAAACACUGUGAAUGGUCUAUAAAAUACACAAUUGUAUUGUGUAAGUAAACAAUGUGAACGGUUUAUGAAACGCACAAGUGAAAUGUAUAGGUGUAAGAUAAGAAAGGGAUAUAGACAGUCUAGUGAGACACAUUGUUAACGCAGACAUUAGGUGCCACUUUCAUUGGCCUUAUUUGUACAUAUUGUUUUAAUUACUUUAUAUUAUGUAUUCCACGCAUAGUUCAUAUGGCUCAGUUAAUCCUAAACGAAGUUUAAAAUGAUGUAAGCAUAACUAGACUUGAAAUGUGAAUCUAUGGGAUAUUUCAUAGUUCUUGAUGUACUUUGUAUACCUCUUAUUUGAAUUACCAUGAUUUCAUAUGUUAUUCUGUUUGCCUUACAUGCGAGUACUAUUCCACAUGUACUCACGUCCCUUUUGCCAGAGGUGCUAUAUCUUUUAAUGAAUGCAAGAAUACUUCUACAAGAUGAUAUGGAUCUUCUGCGCAGUAGAUUAUUGUGAGCCCGCUACAAUUCCAGUGGGUAUUCGAAUCUAGUUGGUUUUAUGUACUUAGGUGUCUAUUAUCAUAUAAGCUCCAUGUACACUGUGGGUCAUGUACUUAAGUUUUGAGUUUCAUCAUGUAUUUAUGUUUACAAUAUUUACAACUAUUUAUAAAGUUGUGUAACCAUCAUGAGAAAAAAUAAUGUAUAGGUCAUUGAGCCAAAUGCAUUCAAUAUGAAAGUCAAGAUCUAAUUACGUUUUGAUAAAUCAUGCAUGAGUAAUGAUGAGAAGUUGAUGUAAAGUAGGCUUGCUCGACCGGGUUUACUCGGUUGAGCGCUAGUCGCGCUCUCCGAGGUCGGGGCGUGACAAAGGAAUAAUGAAAAUAAAGCGACAAAUAAUUGCAACAACAAAGUAAUAGGGUAACAGAAGCGAAUGACACAACAUGUACCAAUAGAGAACGAGGAAUAAGAAAAUAAAAUAAUAGUACUAGUAUUACUGGUAAGAAUGUUAGUCAAUAUGUAUUACUGUAAAUAAUGAAAUAGUAAACUUUCUGAAACAGAAAAAACAGAAACAAAAAAUUAGCAAUAACAGAAUGUUGAAAUAACUUCGGAAUAAAUCGAGCCCACUGAAUGUACAGUGUAUCCUUAAAAAAAUUAUUCCCCUCAAGUACCCGAGGUGCUGGAAUAUUAUCCUCCCAGGAUAGAACGAUUUAACUCACCGGAGUGUUGGUACCAAAAAUGCCGAUGAAAUAGCGAACCACUCGAAGGCUGUAAAACACACUGAAGAUUUUGUGUAGAAGAAGAAGAAGAAGAAGAGCAAAAAAUUUCGUACGGAAUGAUUCUGGGAUUUAAAGCAUAUUUAUAGACUUUCUGGCACUGUUUCUGAAAGGUUAAACAGUCAUGGUUGUUGGAACAAACUGUUUGAAAUAUUACGGGAAAAUCGAUUUAAAAUAAUUCCGGAAAAAAAACGGACCGGACCGGACCGGGUCGCGUCGCGGGUCCUGGGUUAUUUCAGGUUCAAUUUUUGUUAAUUAAUUAAAUAAUUGAAAGAAAGUUUUUCCAAAAAUAUUAAUCAAUCAAUCGAUCUUUAACCAAAUUCGUAUCUAAAUCCGAAUCUGAAUCUGAAGUCGAGUCGAGCGACGACGACGCGAGACUUACUUUCUUUCCAACCCUAACACCAAGAGAAGUGUUUUCUCAAUAUAAGCACAUUCACUUUUCUUUCCACCACCAAUGAUGGACACUUUGCUCCUUCCAAAGCAAAACAGAGCUCACUUUCCCUCCACUUUCUUUCCUCCAUUUCCCAUUCACCAAUCUUUAAUCCCAACAAUCCCCCACAUGAAUGUGAAAUGGCUAUAAGACAAAGGAAUGCACAGACGAGUGUGUGUUUUACAUGCAAGGAUUAAUUGCAUCUGGAUAAGUAGGUUUCCCUUUGAACUUUCCGUAGUGAACUUAUAUCGGAUAUACUCGGUCAAUCGGUAGAUUUGAUAUCUUUGAACCGUCGAUAUUUGUUAUAUACCUAGACAACAUAAGUCAUACAAUCAACCCUUAACCAUCUAUGGUUCUCACGGUUGUGUUCGUUUCAGCCAUGAACACCGCCCAGUUUUAUGAGUGCUUAGAGAAUGAGCCUUUACUUUUAUUCCCCUUGAAGUGGCUUACAAUUCACACUCACAUAGGUGAUUCUAAACUUGUAAUCAUAUAGACACACCAUCUGGUCAUAUCCUACCAGACUUAGCAAAUCAUUAAAAAGCUUUAAGCUUUAUUGACUCAUCAAAAAGCCUUAAUAUUUUACCUCGAUUUCUGAACAUUGUCUUCAUCACGAUAAUGGGUUGAGUUAUUUGACAAUGUUGAACCAUCAUUCAUAACUUUAUUUGAUCUCUUUGAACCUAGCUCUUGGGAUCUCCAGUCUGCUAGGUAGAGUUAUCGCCAUGAUGACUUGUCCUAGGCCUUAACCUCAUUCCCUUUGAUGAUCUUUCAACUGCCUCUCUAGAUAGGCCUUUUGUAAGUGGAUCCGAUACAUUAUCUCUUGACUUUACGUCGUCAAUCAUGAUAACACCACUAGAGAGUAGUUGUCUAACAGUAUUGUGUCUCCGUCAUAUAUGACGAUAUUUUUCGUUAUACAAAACGCUCCCCGCCCUGCAUAUUUCCUAUUGAAUAUCACAAUGUAUACAUAUUGGUGCCAAAGGUUUGGGCCAAAAUGGAAUAUCUUCCAAGAAAUUCUGGAGCCAUUCAGAUUCUUCACCGGCCUUAUCUAAAGCUAUGAAUUCAUAUUCCAUUGUAGAAUGGGCGAUGCACGUUUGUUUGGAUGAUUUCCAAGACACUGCUCCAUCCCUAAUUGUGAAAACAUAUCCACUCAUGGAUUUAACUUCAGAUAAUUCAGUGAUCCAAUUUGCAUCACUAUAUCCCUCGAUCACGGAGGGAUAUUUGUUAUAAUACAAAGGGUAAUUUUGGGUAUGUUUCAUAUAUCCCAAAACUCGUUUCAUGGCCAUCCAAUGUAUUUGAUUGGGAUUACUUAUAAACCGACUCAGUUUACUAAUAACACAUGCUAUAUCUGGUCGCGUACAAUUCAUGAUAUAAAUUAAACUUUCCAAUACUCUUGCAUAGUCCAGUUGUGAGUCACUUUCACCUUCAUUCUUUUGAAGUGCAUAACUCACGUCAAUUGGAGUCUUGGCAAUUAUGAAAUUCAAAUACUUGAACUUGUCAAGCAUCUUUUCAAUAUAGUGUGACAGCGUGACUAUGAUAAUGCCAGACCUUGUGGAGUCUUGUNNNNNNNNNNNNNNNNNNNNAUGCGCUUAGUAGCAUUUAUAUAUGCUAUAUUUUUAUUCAUUAUCAAUAUGUCAUCAACAUAUAAACAAACAAUGACUUCAUGUCCUGAAGUAUUUUUAAUGUAAACACAUUUGUCACACUCGUUGAUUUUAACCCCAUUUGCCAACAUUGUUUGGUCAAAUUUGGCAUGCCAUUGUUUGUGUGUUUGUUUAAGUCCAUAAAGUGACUUAACAAGUUUUCACACUUUUUUUUCUUUACCCGGAACCACAAAACCCUUAGGUUGUUUCAUGUAAAUCUCUUCCUCCAAUUUUCCAUUUAAGAAAGCUAUUUUAACAUCCAUUUGAUGGAUUUCAAGACCAUACACGGACGCCAGUGCCACUAACACCCUAAUAGAUGUUAUCCUCGUUACUGGCGAGUAAGUGUCAAAGUAAUAAAGGCCUUCCUUUUGUCUAUAACCUUUGACAACAAGUCUUGCCUUAUAUUUGUCAAUAGUGCCAUCAACUUUCAUUUUCCGUUUAAAGAUCCAUUCGAACCUAAAGGCUUAUUUCAUGGAGGAAGGUCAACCAAUUCCCAUGUAUGGUUAUCUAAAAUUGAUUGAAUCUCACUAUUGAUUGUCUCUUUCCAAAAUGUUGAAUCAGAAGAUGACAUAGUUGCUUUAAAAGUUUGAGGCUCAUUUUCAAGAAAGAAUGUCACAAAAUCUGGUCCAAAGGAAAUAGAUGUUCUUUGACGUUUGCUACGCCUUGGAUCUUCUUCACUUGGAAUAUUUUCCUUUGGUUCUUCCCGUGGUCGUUUAGGUCUUUCACUUAAUGACUCGCAUUCAGUUUUAUAUGGAUAGAUGCUUUCAAAAAAUUCAGCAUUAUCUGAUUCAAUUACCGUAUUAACAUGAAUUUCAGGAUUAUCAGAUUUAUGAACCAAAAAACAACAUGCUUUACUGUUUGUAGCAUAUCCAAUGAAAACGCAAUCCAUGAUUUUUGGUCUGAUUUUUACCUUUUUGGGUAAAGGUACUUGUACCUUUGCUAAACACCCCCACACUUUAAAAUAUUUUAAGUUGGGUUUUCUUCCUUUCCAUUUUUCAUAUGAAAUCAAUUGCGUUUUGCUAUGGGGGGUACUCUCUUGAGUAUUCGGUUAGCUGUAAGGAUAGCUUCCCCCCACAAACUCUGCGGUAAUCCAGAACUUAUUAAUAAAGAAUUUAUUAUUUUCUUUAAUGUCCGAUUUUUCCUUUCCGCAAUUUCAUUUGAUUGAGGUGUGUAAGGGGCAGUAGUUUGAUGGAUAAUUCCAUAUUUCGAACAUAUUUUUGCAAACGGAGAUUCAUAUUCUCCACCCCUAUCACUUUUAAUCAUUUUGAUAUUUUUAUUCAAUUGAUUCUCCACUUCAUUCUUGUAUUACUUAAAUGUUUCAAUUGCUUCAUCCUUGCUAUUAAGCAAAUAAACAUAACAAUAGCGAGUGCAAUCGUCAAUAAAAGUAAUAAAAUACUUUUUCCCACCUCGAGAUGGUGUCGACUUCAUAUCACAAAUGUCAGUAUGAAUUAAGUCUAAAGGAUUUGAAUUCCUUUCAACAGACCUAUAAGGAUGUUUUAAAAAUUUAGAUUCAACACAUAUUUGACAUUUUAAUUUAUUACACUCGAAUUUAGGCAAUACUUCUAAAUUAAUUAACUUCCGCAAGGUUUUAUAAUUGACAUGUCCUAAUCGAAUAUGCCAUCAAUCAUUUGACUCCAAUAAAUAAGAAGAAGCUGAAAUUUUAUUCAUGCUGUCAACAACCAUUACAUUGAGUUUGAAAAGGCCCUCCAUGAGGUAGCCCUUUCCAACAUAUAUUUCAUUCUUACUUACAACAACUUUGUCAGAAAUAAAUACACAUUUGAAUUCAUUCUUAACAAGUAAAAAAGUAGAAACUAAAUUCUUCCUAAUAGUAGGAACAUGAAGAACGUUGUUGAGCAUUAACACCUUGACGAAAGUCAUCUUCAGGAAUAUCUUCCCAUAACCUUCAAUCUUGGUUGUUGCAGUAUUUUCCAUGGAAAACUCUUCUUCGGGACCAGCAGUAGAGUAAGUCAGAAAUGCUUCUUUGACAGCACAAACAUGUCGAGUGGCUCCAGAGUCAAUCCACCACUCCUUCAGAUUUCCAACUAGGUUGCAUUCCGAAAGCGUUGCACACAGAUCAUCAGUGUCAUCAUUCUUCUCCACUAUGUUGACUUGUCCCUUCUUCUUAUCCUUUUUCGAGAGACGACAAUCAGGGGCUUUGUGACCAGCUUUUCUACAAUUGUAGCAGUUGCCCUUGAAUUUCUUUUUGUUCUGCUCCUUAGUCUGUCCAGAAGAUCUCUUUCUCUUCUUACUUUUUGGAGCAGUCUCCUCAACAAUAUUAGCUCCCAUGAUCGUUGAAUUUCCACGAGACUUCUUCUUUACUGUUUUGUUGUCUUCCUCAAUCUUGAGAUGAAUCACAAGAUCUUCCAAUUUCAUUUCUUUACGCUUGUGCUUAAGAUAGUUUUUAAAAUCUCUCCACGAAGGAGGCAAUUUUUCAAUCAUUGCAGCCACUUGAAAUGCUUUAUUCAUGACCAUAACUUCAACAAUAAGUUCAUGAAAAAUAAGUUGAAUUUCUUGAACUUGGGUUCCAACAGUUUUGCUGUCUAUCAUUUUAUAGUCUAGAAACUUGGCAACCACAAACUUCUUCAAGCAUGCAUCUUCAGUCUUGUACUUCUUCUCAAGUGCGUCCCAUAAUUAUUUCGAAGUUUUCACAGCAAUGUAGACAUUGUACAAGUCAUCCUCCAAAGCACUUAGGAUGUAGCCUUUGCAAAGAAAGUCUCCCUGUUUUCACGUCUCAACAAUCAUAAACUUCUUAUUGUCUGGCAUGUAGUCGGCAGGCACUGGAGGGUUUUCACUGGUGAACUUCUACAUACCAAGUGUGGUAAGCCAGAAAAAUACCCUUUGUUGCCAUCCUUUGAAGUUGGUUCUAGAAAAUUUCCCCGGUUUCUCGGCCGGUGGAACAACAGUUCGGCUUGACGAGGCUAUCAUCGUUGUCGCAACAGUUGGAGAAGAAUUUCCAUUAUCAAUUGCUAUUUCUCAUUGUUAACAACAGAAGAGUUCAAUUAAUGACAAAAAACAGAAUAGUAAACAGUAUUGUAAUAAACGAUAAACAAUACGUUUAAUAAAUAAAAAUCGAAGUUUUUUUAUAUAUUGUUUUACAGUAAUCGAUGAAGUUUUUGAUGUUCUUCAAAUCGUUUCUGAAUUUUAAUACUCCGAUGAAAUUUUUAUAUCUUCAAAUCAGAAUAGAAAAAAACAGAUGGAGUAGAAAACCACACAUAUUUUAAUCUCCAAAAAACAGAAUACAGAAUAUAAUAAAAUAAUUUUCUUAAGGUUGUUUGUCAAUAUGUAUUACUGUAAAUAAUGAAACAGUAAACUUUCUGAAACAGGAAAAAUAUAAAUAGAAAAUUAGCAAUAAUAUAAUGUCGAAAUAAUUUCUCGAAAAAUAAUUUCGGAAUAAAUCGAGUCCAUUGAAUGCACAGUGUAUCCUUGAGGAAAUUAUUCUCCUCAAGUACCCGAGGUGCUGGAAUAUUAUCCUCCCAGGAUAGAACGAUUUAACUCACUGAAGUGUUGAUACCAAAAACACCGAUAAAACAGCGAACCACUAGAAAGCUGUAAAACGCACUGAAGAUUUUGUGCAGAAGAAGAAGAAGAAGAAGAAGAGCAGAAAAAUUUGUAAGGAAAGAUUCUUGGAUUCAAAACAUAUUUAUAGACUUUCUAGUACUGCCUUUUCAGAAACAGCUAUGGCUGUCGGAACAGGUUAUUUGAAAUAUUGCGGAAAAGCGAAUUUAAAAUAAUCCAAAAAAGAAAACAGAUUGGACCGGAUCGCGUCGCGUCGCGGGUCCUGGGUUAUUUCAGGUUGAUUUUCGUUAAUUAAUUAAAUAAUUGAAAGAAAUUUUGUCCAAAAAAAUUAAUCAAUCAAUCUUUGACCAAAUCCGAAUCCGAGCGAGCGAGCGACGCGAGACUUACUUUCUUACGAGCCCAUUUAACACCAAGAGAAGUGCUUUCUCAAUAUAAGCACAUUCACUUUUCUUUCCACCACCAAUGAAGGACACUUUGCUCUUUCCAAAGUAAAAGGGAGCUCACUUUCCCUCCGCUUUCUUCCCUCUAUUUUCCAUUCACCGAUCUUUAAUCCCAACAAAGCCUAGGAGAGACUCGCGACUAUAUGUCAACCUUCAACCCUAAUACUCGUCCUCCACACCUCCUUAUCGAGGUCAUAUCCUCAGUAAGCUGAAGCAAUAACAUAUCCUGCAUAAUUACCUCACACCAGUACUUCUUUGGACUACCCCUACCCUUUCUCAGACCGGCAGUGGUCUAUCUCUCACACCUUCUAAUCGGGCAGCUAUGCCUCGCCUCUUCAUAUGACCGAAUCAUCUCAGCCUCGAUUCCCGCUACUUGUCCUCCACAAGGGUCACUCCCACAAUGUCCCUAAGAACUUCGUUCCAAAUCUUAUCUUUCCUAGUAUGCCCAUACAUCCAUCUCAACAUCCUCAUUUCAACUACUUUCAUCUUCUGGAUGGGGACUUCUUGACGGGUCAACACUUGGCCCCAUACAACAUAGUCGGCUAAACCACCAGCAUGUAGAACUUGUCCUUAAGGCUUGAUUACACAUUCUUAUCACACAAAAUCCCAGAUGCGAGCCUCCAUUUCAUCCACCCCGCUCCAAUACGAUAUGCAACAUGCUCGUUAAUCUCCUCGUUGCCUUAUAUUACAGACCCAAAGUAUUUGAAACUAUCUCUCGUGAGAAUGACUUGUGUGUCAAUCUUCACUUCCACUUGUGCUUCGUGCGUCCCCUCAAUGUUAAAUCAUAUUGGUAAUAUUUUAUUAGGAUUAUCUAAGAAAUGUUAGGGAAAAUGCCGGCUAAGGGUAAAAAUAUUUGACUCAUCAAAAGUAGUAAUAGCCUCCUAUAAAAUGAAAAUAUAGAGCUAAAAUAAGUGUAGUUAUCUUAAUAUGAACGUUAUUUGUUAAUUUCAAUAGCUUAUUUCACCCACUUACGAAUUCAACUGAUUUAAGUGACCCAAGUAUAUACGGAAGUGUACUAACUUUAAUCUUUUGAUCAUUUCUCAUUUGUAUAGAUUACAAAGAUAAAUAUAAAAAAACAGAAUCAUGAGCUAAUUUAUUAUGAAAAGCUUUAUAAAUGGUUUAAAAGAAUUUGGAUGCAAGUAUCUUAGUGAACUUAAUUAGUAUUUUAUAGAACCAAUAAUUUUCUUGUUCCUAAUCAUAGUCAUUACGAUUAUCAAAUACUUUAAUAUUUACGGGCUAAAGCGUGAUGGAAAGAGAAAAUGGAGAAAAAAAAAGUGCCAAAGUCUUUGGGAAAGACCAAAAUACGUAGUACAAAUUUAAACAGAAAAAAACAAAAAUCAGAAGCGAAAAAGAAAAUGAGGCGAACGUGGAUCGAUCACGUGACCUUCAGAUCUUAGGUCUGACGCUCUCCCAACUGAGCUAUUCCCGCUAUUUAUUCUAUGCAAGUUCUGUCUUUAAUAUGUCAUUUGAAUGUUGUUAUAUUGUUUUAGCUACAUCAAUUCUAAAUUCUCUAGAGUGCAACAUACGGGUUCACGAGAACCCAGUAACUUUUAUUCAUACGCUACUUGUAUAUUAAGAAAUUUAUCAAAUAUUAAUAAAUAUUUGACCGUAAAUCUAGUUAUUAUUUAAAAUUUACUUGAAUUCGACGGAACUCAUAAACUUCAAACUGUGAACCCAAUAAUUUUUGCUCAGACUCUAUUUGUAUAUUAAGAAGUUCACCAAAUAUUAACAAAUAUUUGACCGUGAUACCCAAUUAUUAUUAUAAAUUUACUUGAAGUCGAUAUAAGAUCUCAGGUUCAAAUCCAUUAUUCGAUUCUUCAUGUCAUGCUAGUUUUUCUAUAAAUGCUUUAGUACGUGGUGGCCCGAACUAAGCAUCAGAUACCUGCAAUCAUCAAUAAAAUGGAAGUAGUAAUUUUGUACAUUACUACUCGACAUGGCAAGAACAUGUUGAAAGCCUACUUCAACUUUUAAAGUAGUCUUCCUUUUUGCCCUAGAAAGGUAAAGCAAUGGUAUAAUUGGAAAAUUCUUCCUAUUAUAUCCCCCUCAUCUACUUUGCUAUAUCUUGCACCUUCUCUUGGACACCUCCAAGGCUUAAAAUAAUUCUUACUACAUGUGAAAAGACAGAUUCAGAAUUUAAAAUUUAUGAGUUCCUAUAUCGAUUUUAAUUUAAUAUAAAAUAAUAACUAGAUUCACAAUUAAAUAUUUAUAGAUAUUUAGUGAAUUUUUUAAUAUAAAUACAGAAUUUAGACAGAAGUUAAUGGAGUUACGUGCAAUGAUGGAUCUAUAUUGUGAGCUUUUUGAGCCAAAUAUCAAUACUUAUAUAGAAAAAUUAGUAAUUCAUAUAAAUAUAUUAAUUGAGCACUCAGGCUGGUUCGCUUAAAGAAAAUCUUUUCUAUGAUCAGGUCCGAAUCACCUUAAUAUCCAUAGAAAAAAGUUGCUAGGCAUUUUUAAUCUCAAAAUCUAAAUUAAAAAUAUUUGAGCACCCAUAACUAAAAAAUCAUGGAUCCGUCACCGUUUACGUGUACCCAUAGGUUUAAAACUAGUUCCGCCUUUGCUUAUAGAGGAUUUCUUUUCUUUCUUUUUUUCUUCAAGCAUCCGAUAUUCUUGAGUCAUCACUAACUAACUCGACUAGUUUAGAUUAACGUACAACAAGUAAAGCAAAUUAUAAGUCUUCUUCCUGUUUUUGUUUUGUUCUUUCUAGUGGCCUUGGCUAGAAAAAGAUCACAUUGAACUUGGACUUACAGUACCAUGAUAUGGUACUAAGUUAAGUGUUCUUAUUUCAAAUAGAAAGCUUAUUUGGUAAAUUAAAUGCUUAUUUUACUCAUAUAUAUUUUAAAAAGUCCAUUACACAUGUUUGUAUGAGCUAAAAAUUUCCCUAGUUAUGUGUGGGCCAAGUCAAUAUUAAGAGAGCCUUCGAAGGCUGCCACGCGUCAUCAAUGUAUUUUCAACAAAUGACGAAGAUGAGGUUGAGUUGACUCACCAGAGGGACAAGGACGACCACUUCCUUUAGAAUGGCAGUAAUGACUAAUUUUAGAGACAUUAUAGAAGAAUAUUUUAAGGGAUAUUCUUCUUAUCUGUACUAUUAGGUAAAUAGAAAGAUGUGUAGUUACAGCGGUGAUGAGAUACUCAUUGUAAGAAACAACACAUUGACAUUCUCUGAAAAUUUUUGUUUUAUUACAUACAUACACAAUAUACCUUUUCUUCAGAUCUGUACCCAACUUUUCUCCCACGAUCCAAGAAGAAUCCGAAUAUUCAAAGGUUCAUCAAUCAUUUAUCAUUGUCGGGGGAAUGUCAAAGAAUCCCAUCCCUUUUCUGUUAACUCACUUGGACUUCUUUACAUAAAUGCCAUUAUAUAUCAUUUAUUACUAUUUAAUGUCAUUCUCUUUGUUCUUAUUGAAUAUUAUUGACCGUUGCAUAUUUAUUGCUAUUUGAACGGAACUUGUGACAUUUUGCUACGUAGUCAGUUGAACGACCUUUUGUAUAUUAAUAUUGGCUAAGAUUAACUCUAUUCUAUUAGAAAAUAUAAUUGUUUAAAUCUAGAUCUAAAUUUUAGAUUAAAUAAUGUUGCUAUUUUAUUGCAUUUUGCAUUUGAAUAUUUUCAUGAUUGAAAAUAAAAGAUUAAGCUGCACAAUGUACCUCUUAAAAAUGGAAUAAACAUGAUGCAGUCUCAUAGAAAAAGCACAUUUAGUCAUGAUUCUAGUAAAAUCGUUCAAGUUGUCUUAAUUAGGUUAUAAGAUGAAUCAACAAAAAUAAUUAGAAUUAACUACUAAUUCCUUUUUCAACCUAAUUAAGCGACCUAAAUGUAUACUGUAUAGGGGUUAAAGUAUUUGAUUUCUCAUAUCAUAUUAGUCUUACUUUUUACGAUGAUAAAUAUAAAAAAAAAAUAGAAUUACGGGGUACGUUUAAUUCACUUAUGUUAUAAAUAAUUUUAUAUAGUGGCGGAUGAACCGCUUCGAUAGCAAGUUCAUUUGAGCUCAAUAUUUUUAAGAAUAACUAUUAUAGAUUACUUAUCAACUUUAAAUUUUAGUUCGGCCAUUGAUAUUAUAUGUUAUAACCGAUUAAAAAGUUUGGUCGAUGCGAGUACAAUUUUAAUUAAUUAUUUCUUGUUUCUAGUCAUGUUCAUAUCAAUUAUGAAAGAGUUGAGUAUCUACUAGGGCUGUUCAAAAUCAAACCGAACUGAUAGCUUAUUGGUUUAUUGGUAUCGGAUUAUCGGGGUAAUGGAUGGUGAACGGAUUGAGAUUUUGUAAUUAACGGCUUAACAAUUUGGGUGCGAAUUACUCAAUUUUCUUAUCGGGUAAACCGUUAACCCGUUAAGAAUUUUUAUAUUUACACUUUUACUCCUAUAUAUAUAAAGUACUAUUGAAACCCCUAUGUAUUUACACUUUGUUUGACCAAACAGGCUUGAUGCCGAUUUCUAUUUGCCAUAGUUACUUAAGAAUGCAUUACAUAUUAGAUGAAAAAUCUGUCAAGACUUGUAUCAGUUGGACUUCUUCCCUCACAGAACAAACGGAAGAGGAAUUCAAAGGGAAGGUUAUCAUUGAGGGGGUUAAAGUAUGAUGAUCCUUUCUCGGACAAUUCUUUGUCAUGCAACUUAGCAAGUGUGGACAGCCGGUUGUCAUUAUAUGUUCUAAUACCUUUUGUUAGAUGAACACGAGGAUGAUUGAUAAGUUUUGUGGAACUGAUCACUGAUCAUAUUGUAGUGCAAUGAACUAAAAGUACGUGACUGGAUUUUCUCGUUUUAUGUCCUUUUUUAAAAUCUGCUUUUCUGGAAGAACGAAUGCCCUUUUUGAGUAGUUCUAAAGAUUGUUCAAUUCAAAAAUACCGUUUGGUUAGAUCUUAGAUGGUAUUAAAAUUUUGGUAUUGAUUUAAAACUGUUUGGUAUUGAUUGAAUGAUUAUUCAAAAAAAUUACUAUUUGGUUUAGCCGAUAAGCCGUCAGAUAACCGCCCGAUAAUUGUUAAUCCGAUACAAAUCUGCCUGUUGUCUUAUUGGAUGGCUAGCAGAUUAUUAUAUUUAUAAUCCGAUAACCGUUAAGCCGAAUCGUUAAACGUAAUUAUCCGCAAUAAAUACCCCUAGUAUCUACCGAGUAGAGAGUGAUGGAAAGAGAAAAUGCAAAAAAAGGUCCCAAAGGCCAAGUGGCAAAGUCUAAACAGAUUAGAAUAGAGAAAAAAGCAAACAACGAAAAGCAAAAGAAUAUUGCGGUGAACGUGGAUCGAACACGUGACCUUCAGAUCUUCAGUCUGACGCUCUCCCAACUGAGCUAUCCCCGCUUUCUGCAAAUUUUAUAAACUAUUAACAUCAUUAUAGAAGAACAUUCACAAAAAUAUUUAUAUUAUCAGGUAAUAAAGUCGGUGAAUAUGAGGAGAUGCUCUACGCGAACUAAUCCACAUUGAAGUAAGUUAUGCAUGAAUUGUUUAUCCGGUGAUUAAAUAAUUAAAGAAUUAUUAUGCAAUAACUAAUAAUGAAGGUAUUAUUAUGCGAUAAUAAUGAAAAAAAUAUUUUUCAUGAGUUAAUUAUUCUAAAAGACAUUUAUGUCUUUAAAUGGUUUAAUCCCUUCGUUGUUGUUUUACGUAUCUUAUCCCAUAUAAAUUAAUACAUUAAAUCUAACAUAAUUUAAUGUAUGUAUUGUUUAAUAUCGCCAACCAUUUUUAUUUUGGGAUUAUUAUUCUUAUAUCCUAACGAAACAUUAUAUUAUCUCAUGCAAAAUUUAUUCUAGGAUUAGUUAUUCAUAUACAUUAUACUACAAACAAACGACCUUUAAAUGAAUAUCCUCCUAAUUGGUGUACGGGUAAAAUCGGGGGCAAUAUCUACCCCGAUUCCCCGCUGAGAGAAUGGAGGGGAGCACGGAUCUGCGAGAUUAUAAUCGAGGUCAGAGACCCUUCGUAUCGAUACCAUAUCCGACAUCGAAUAUGGUAAAGCGACGUGUCUCGGGCCAUAUAUAAGUUCUAGACCUCGAAAGACACGGUGAACGGUUGUGCAUGACGGAUAGAGGGUUGUGAUACUCGCCCUCAACCGGAUAUCACUAUGAGCACGUGAUUUUUGCCCGAUAAAAAUACUCCUACAAAAUCCACAAAAAUAAAUCUUUCUAAUUGUUUUUGAUUUCAUAGAAUUUUAGGAAUUCCUUUUUAAUUGUUUGUUUGCAUGUAGUUGUAUUUUUGUGCAUAUUUAAUAUUUUAAAACCAUAAAAAAUAACAAAAAAUAUUUAAUUCUUCAUGGCAUGGCAUCUUAGGUUUAAUUGUAUUUUUAGAACUUAAUUGCAUUAGUAAAUGAAAAUCACAAAAAUACCAUAGUCAUGUUUACAUUUUAGCUUUCAGUUUUAAAUUAAUUAGGAUUAAGUUAAUUAAUUAUUUAAAUGUUAGAAAUAGAUAAUUAGGUUUGGCAAAUUAGACUUGAUUUAGGAAUUAAUUUAGGUUGUUAAUUAAUUUGAUCAGGAGUUGAAAUCAAAGAAAAAGAAAGGAAGGAAAGAAAGGAAUAUUUUGUUUAGUCAUAUGCGAAAUUGGGCCAAAAGCACAAUUCUAGUGGCCCAAGUACCCAAAGCCCCAUACUGCCAGACCCAAUUACCACCAAACCCAACCCCAUCCAGCCCCAUUAAACCCAAACGAUCCCUUUUUGAUCUCUUCGAAUUCUCACCGUUCAAGCACCAGAUCCAACGGUCCAGAACUCAACACCCUUUUAGAUUUAAUUGUCGGAACCCCUUCCUAACCCUAGAGACCCCAAAACUCAUCUCCCUCACCUCUCUCAUGCCCACCUUCCCCCGCCGCCGAAAAUCGCCCUACGACGGCGGUACCACUUCAAACUCCCUCAAACUCACACCCCAUACUCCUCCUCAUCCUCAAUCCAAAUCUACCAUCAAUUUUCCCAAAAGACCCACCAAAUCUUUCGAAUUUCAGAUCUAAGAAGUCAUAAAAACCUAAAUCCACCCCAUUUUGAGUUUUCCCAAAUUCCGGCCUACCUGAUGUUCAUACCAACGCUAAUUGAAUACUCUUGUUGAGAGUUAUCAAUUGGAGCUAGUUUUGGACCUAUUCUAGGCCACCCGAAUCCGGCCACUACCAUGGAACCCCCAUAAUGUUAAUUUUCUUUGCCGGUAUAUGGCGGACAUUAUCACAUAUAGCAUUGUCUACACCUUGAGUGUGGGCUAAUGCUCAUGUAAUGAUGCCGGUUGUUAGCCGGAUCUCUUUUUCGGGCAACCUUAUCGUCAAUGGGUAAUCCUUCUUUUUAUUUCUUUGAUUACUGCCCAUUUUAGGUUAGUGGAUUGACAUUUUUGUGUUAUAUGUUAUAGAUUAGGUUUAUUUCAACUUAACGGCAUAUUUUUUGUUUUGCUUCAACUCUUGUCAAAUUAAUCAAUUGAUAGUUAUUCUAUGGUUGCAUCAAUAUGUUGAUUGUUAGUAUAUCUUCUCGUAUGUUUAGCAUGUUCUAGAUUAGUUAGGAUUUCUAAUUCAUCAAUUCUGUGAUUAGGCCAAUGUUUUAAAAGCAUAGCAGUCAAUUUUAAUUAGGUUAAAAUGACUUUAAUUAGUUAAUUACAUGUUUGAAUUAGUUUAAUCACAUAAAAUAGGUUUAAGUUUGAAUAUUGCUUGUUGUGCUGUGAUUUUUAAUCCAUCUAUUUUUUUUAUGAUAGUUGUUUGUAAUUACUAAAAUACCAGGGGGGAAAAAGAAAUGAGAAAAUCAGGGAAUCUUAGUUUGGAAUUGCCUAGAAGGUUCUAGAAAAUGGGGCUAAAAUGCAAUAAAUAGAAGGAAUUAGGUCAUAUUUGGUUUAAAAGAGGUAAUUUUCAGAAGUUAAAAAGAGUGAAAAUGAGAAGAAACUUCUAGAAAGGGACAACUGUCCAAAUCUGUUAGAAAAGAUGAUGAAGUUGGAUACAUUUGUCCAUUUUCUGGUACAGAAAAUGCCAAUUUCCUGAAUUUUAGGGAAGGUUGGCAGAUUUCUUUUGGUCUAAUCCCAUUCCCUCAUAAGGCAUAGGAAUUUUUCUAUAAAAGUAACCUUUCUCCUCACAAUCUAGGAGGAGUUUUUCAAGGGCUGCACAUUCAUUCACUCAAAAAAGAUACGGCCUUUACACAAAAAUUCUUUAAAAUUCAGAAUUCCUCCUUUCGUUAAUUCACUAAUAUUUACAUUGAUUUAUGAAAAAUCCAUUGUCCUUCACUUUCAUUUUUAGUAAAGAAAAUUUCUGAAAAAUUAACUUUGGGAUUUCAGAAACAAAAAAAACAACAAAGGUUUUCAUUAGCUUGCUUCACUAUCGGAUAACUGUGUUUUUCAAGUUCUGGGUUUGAAGUUUGGUUGUGCUUCAUUUUCUGUGUUGGCUACUGUUUCAUUAAGCUGUAGCUGAUUCUAUUUUUAGCUGUGCUUCUCAAAUUCAGAGGUUUAUUUUCUUGUUGUUCUUUGCUGCUGCUGAGGUAUUACUCUUGAUCAAAUAGGGUAAACUUCAUUUUGUUUGAAUUAUGAAACUGUUUUCUACAGUAUGGUGACUGUGUUUGAUAUUUAUCAAAUUGUAUGUGUUGUUUAAUUAUUGUUGGAAUGUGGCUAUGAGCUAUGAGCUGAAUUAUUGCAAUGUGUCGUGUUAAACAAUGACUAAGAUCCGUUUAUUUGAAGUUAUCUAUAGACCUAUAUGAAAUUAAUCAUCUAUACAAUUUAUUCUUUAGCCAUGAAGUUUAUAGUUUGUUACCAGUUAGAAUUAGAGACUGUGAUAACCUACACUUGAUAAGGUGUUUGUUUAAGAUGUAAAACUUUACUAGUGAUGAUUUUGGAUUUGCAUGACCUUAAAAGCCUCGGUGAUGGAUGCACACAUAGCUCUAAUUCAGGUUUCAAUUGCUAAUGAGUUUGGCUAAACAAGUAGAUAUUAAAUCAUAAGAAGGAAACACCAAAAGUGUUUAGAUACUCCAGUGCAAGUGGUGUGUUGAUUUCAUCCUAAAGCUCUUAUCUAGUUCAAUUGUCAUGGUUGCUCUGUUUUCCGGAUCUAUGUAGUCAUUCAUGAAUUGUAAUUAGAGUAAUUGAAACUGUGAUUUUGUAAUUCUUUAAUACUGCAAAUGGGUAUUGUUUCUUUUUAGGCUUGUAUAAUUGUGUAUUGAAUAUGAUUUAAGGUUAGUUAUCUUUUAUUGGGCCUGGUGUGGGCCAAUUUUAUAAAAGAAUGUUUGGCCAAGGGAAGAAAUCAUGUUUCCAGUUGGUUAUUGGAGUUUUAUUAUUCACUUGGGCUCAAUUUUGAGCCUAGUGUUAUGUGUUGAUGCUUUUUAAAAAGGAAUUAGCACAUCUGGGCUUCACCUAAAAAUUCACAUGCAAUUUGCUUAGCCCAUUAGAGGUUCUUCCCCAAUGUCUAAUGAAAUUGAGCCCAAAUUUGUUUAAUUUCCCAUAGAUCACGACUUUACCAAUAAUCUCAAAUUAGAAAAGGGAAUAAAUCACAAAUAUUCGAGGAAAUGCUUUAGGCGCGUUCUUUAAAUUACUAUCUUGAUUGUGUACACGUUCACGUGACAUGAUUAUGAUUUUCUAUGAUAAAUCCAAGUACACGUUCACGUGACUUUGGCCAAACAAUCUUAAUAACAAUAAAGUAUUAUUAGUUGUGUGCACGUACGCGUGACAUGACUUUAACAUACCAAAACAAGACGAAUACACGUACGCGUGAUUCGAAUAAUCGAGUAAUUAAAAGUGGUAAAAGGUAAAAAUACAAAUAGGUUCUAAAAAUACGUAAUUAAAUAAAUUAGUUAAGCCGGGUAUGAUUAAAGCGACCGUGCUAAAAAUACGGAAUCCGAGAAUGCCUAACAUCUUUUUCCGGGUUAACAUAAUUCCUUACUCGGUCUUCUGUGUUCGCAGACUUUAAAACAUAGUCAAAUUUUCUCGAUUUGAGAUUUAAAAUAAACAGGUGACGUGGGACACCAUAAUAAUUAUUCCAAGUGGCGACUCUUAUAAUCAAAUAAAUAAUCUCAUUUCGAACAAUGUCACUUUAGUUGGAAAAACUCACUAUUCCUAUCGAGAAAAGGGAGGUAUGACAACUCUGGCGACUCUGCUGGGGAUCGAACCCAGAAUCUCUAGUUUAGGGUUCAGAAUUCGAGCUUGUAAUGUGAUCUAUACUUGGCUUUAUUAUUUGUUGAUAUUGCUGUGUUUGUGGGCCUAAUGUGCUAAUUGUCGCCCAUUUACCUCUUUGAUAUUAUUUGAACUGUAUUAUAACUGUCUUCUUACGACUCCCAUCUAAUUCUUCUAAAAAUAUGAUACACAUGUACAUGUGAUACACUUUUUCGUUAGAGGUCGUACCAAAUAGAACGAGGCUGGAUCAACAACUAGACCAGGUAGACUUUCAUGUUCCCGGUACAUUAUCCCUACCUUAGCUCGAGCUGUCCGCUUGGGUAAGCCAUGUCUAGAACACACCCCCAGGUUUAAACCUAGAAUAACAUAGCCUAAUACCGGAUCCCUAGUAGGAAUGUUUGUUUGUAUCAUGUGCAUUUGACUUUGGAGACUCAACACAGAGGUUGGGUCCGUCUAGGAUAGGUGUACCCAAAAUUACAAGACCAUCUUGAUGCAUCCUACGUGCUACCUGUGCAUUUAUUUAUUUCAACUUACAUGUUGAUCGGCUAGGAAAAAAAAUUAAGAGAAACAAUAAGAGUGAGGUAGAAGAGGGAAAUUUGCCCAAUUCUGAAAACCCCGGUAUUUGGAAAAAUCCCAAAACUCUGCCAAAAGUUUUGAAAAAGAGAGAGAAGAAAAUGAAUUUCAAAAUGAAUCAAUAUCAUGUUUUCCCGUUUAUGUCAAAACUGACUGAACUACGCGGGUCUGAUUCUCACUGGAUGUGAGAUACGUAGGCAAAUCUCAUCGGUUCCGGCCCCAAUUUUANNNNNNNNNNNNNNNNNNNNNNNNNNNNNNNNNNNNNNNNNNNNNNNNNNNNNNNNNNNNNNNNNNNNNNNNNNNNNNNNNNNNNNNNNNNNNNNNNNNNNNNNNNNNNNNNNNNNNNNNNNNNNNNNNNNNNNNNNNNNNNNNNNNNNNNNNNNNNNNNNNNNNNNNNNNNNNNNNNNNNNNNNNNNNNNNNNNNNNNNNNNNNNNNNNNNNNNNNNNNNNNNNNNNNNNNNNNNNNNNNNNNNNNNNNNNNNNNNNNNNNNNNNNNNNNNNNNNNNNNNNNNNNNNNNNNNNNNNNNNNNNNNNNNNNNNNNNNNNNNNNNNNNNNNNNNNNNNNNNNNNNNNNNNNNNNNNNNNNNNNNNNNNNNNNNNNNNNNNNNNNNNNNNNNNNNNNNNNNNNNNNNNNNNNNNNNNNNNNNNNNNNNNNNNNNNNNNNNNNNNNNNNNNNNNNNNNNNNNNNNNNNNNNNNNNNNNNNNNNNNNNNNNNNNNNNNNNNNNNNNNNNNNNNNNNNNNNNNNNNNNNNNNNNNNNNNNNNNNNNNNNNNNNNNNNNNNNNNNNNNNNNNNNNNNNNNNNNNNNNNNNNNNNNNNNNNNNNNNNNNNNNNNNNNNNNNNNNNNNNNNNNCCCUAAUUUUAAUAAAAAUACCAAAAAUAAAAAUGUGUUUGUUUCUUUUGGUCAAAAGAGUAAGCCGAUCCAGCUUCGGUUGCGUCUUGCACCGUUUUUGCCGGAAUAGCCUUAGAACAUCUUUAAAUUGUCGAAAGGCUAUUCUCGCAAAGAACAGACAUGUCUGUCAAUGAGGCCUCACUUUUCCCAUGAAGUGCCUUUCCCCGGCCUCAAACUUUAUUCGAAAGUGGAAAGGGGCUAUUAUUGCAAAGAUGGCCAUCUUUGGCUAAUAUUGCAUAAAUAGACACCCUAAUUUGAUUUCUCCUUGGAAAAUUGAAAACUUGUUUUGCAAAAGAGUCCACUGGUCUGUCUUUCAAACUAGAGUCAACCAUAACCCUAACCAUUCACAGGUACAAAAUGAACACUGUCCAUAACCCGCCAUUACAUGUUGUAGAGCAUGUUCCAUUGCAGCUUCAAAUGCGAUGGUACGACCUGGAUAAAGAUAGUCAGGAUCGGGUAGUAAAAUAUUUAGGUGAUCUCACGGAUAUUAUGAAAAUCAAGGCCUUGGUAACUUUCUGGGGUCCCGUCCACAAUGUCUUCCGCUUCUCAAGUUUUGAGCUUACGCCCACUCUGGAGGAAAUAUACUGGUUUCGUCCGGGACUUAAGAAAUCAGCAACUUAUAUUUCUAAGGCCUCCCUCUGUGCACCGAUUCUUUGAUCUCCUGAAUAUCAGUAAGCAAAUAAGGAAGAACAAUGUAAACAAUGGAUGUUGCUCCUUCUGCUUCCUGUAUUCCAUAUAUGGGCACUCAAAUGGGUUUGAAGCACAUGAAAAGGGCCUGAAUAACAAGGCGAACAAGGACACCUGGAAAAUUCAUCGUCGUUUUGCUUUCAUAGUGGCGUUUCUGGGAAUUAUGGUCUUCUAAAUGAAAAAUAGACAAUUGAUAUCUGCAUGGCCAGAAUUGCGCAAGUCAUCACUACCAAAGAAGAUCACACGCUUGCUCCGCUUAUAUUAUCGGACAUAUAUCGAGCAUUGACGUUGUAUAAGUCUGGGGCGACACUUUUUGAAGGUUGCAAUAUUCUUUUGCAAAUGUGGUUAAUUAAACAUCUCCGCCAUCACCCAAAAUUCAUGAGUUAUGGCUCGAGCAAGAACAAAUUCAUCGAGAGUUAUGAGGAAAGGGUAAAAGAUUACAACUCUCCAGAAGGGGUUGAAGCUUGGAUCUUCCAUCUAAGAACUCUAAAGGCGAGUCAGAUUGAAUGGACUUUGGGAUGGCUCCCGGUAAGGGAAGUCAUACACAUGAUGGCUAGAAAAAGCUAUUUGUUGUUGAUGGAUUUGAGAAGUGUCCAACCGUAUGCACCGUAGAGAGUUCUAAGACAGUUGGGAAGAUAUCAAGUGGUGCUCGAAGAUGAAGAUUUGAGUGUCCAAGUCAUUGAGCUACACCAUGAAGCCCCACUACCCGAGGCUUUAAUCCAGCAAACUUGGAAUAGUUGUCGAUACCUGAAAGAGGAUACCCAGGUACCAGAUCUUGCGAGAGGUGAGGUAGAUCUAGGUUAUGCCACAUGGUUUGAGAGAAGGUAUUGCGUUAAUGAUGAGCCCGAGCCCCAAAGGCCCACCAAAAGACCUCAUAUUCAGGCUUUUGAUGACAAAUUUCGAGAACAGUUGGCCUGGAAGAAAAAGGAGAAGAAAUAUCAAGCCACCAUCCAUGCCUUAGAAGAAAAGUUGAGAAGCCUCACAUUUGACAAUGACUUACAGGCACAGGAGGCCGAAGGUGAAAAGAGAAAGUUGACCCGAGAGAACGAGGCACUCCGAGCCCAACUCUGGGACAUGAGGAUAGCCUCUAAAACUCCUGUGAGGAGUGAUAAAUAUGAAAAACUCAUCAGCAACUUAAGGUUAAAGGUGCAUGAUUAUGCGACUGACUUGACAAAGGCCGAGAGAGACUUGCUAAACCUCAAGCAAAGUUGGCCAUAGGUGCGGAAGAACAUGCCAGAUUAGCCUACCAGUUGAAGCAGAAAUACGACAGAGAAGUAACAAUUCUAAAGAAAAAGAUGGUCUCCCUUGAGAAUGAAAUGGUCCAACUAACAAAGGAUUUCAAGGCAGAAAGAGAGCAUUGCUACGCAUUGAUUUACCGAUUAGAAGAAAGCAUGCAACAAUUGCAAGACCAAAACAACACAUCCACACAGGUGUUGGAAGCAUGGGCACAACAAAUUGGACGUUUGCUUCAAGAAAAAGGUGUAUCAUAAUGAGAAUCAAAGAGAUAAUUGAUUAUGUUGUAAUGAAAUGCCAUGAAUGUGAAGACAUGACCAGGUCUAUGUUUUUUGCUUCUGUGAUGACCUUUGUUCGCCAGGUGAUGGUUGACCUAAACCAACUUCAAGAAGAUAUUGCAUGUAGGCCCGCGCCGAGAUCGACUGAUGUCCCACGGGCCCCCGGAGUACCAGUGGAGGCUCUUAUGUAUUUUUGAUUUUUCGGUUUUUGAGUAUGUAUUUUACUUUUUCUCGAGUUUUGUUCGUCUUUGUCAAGGCUGUUUUGUUUUGAGUAUGUAUGAUUUCCUUUGUAGUCAUCAGUAAUUCAGAGUCCUUGUAAUAGAAAAACCCAAAAAGAUGUCUUUAUUAAUGAAAUAUUGAAAAACCCAAUUUUGUUUAUUUCACAUUUAUUUCCUGAACUACGUAAUGAUCUGAUUCAUGCGGCAUCAUGAUAUGUAGGCAAUCCUCGUAGGAUUCGAUCAUAGCCAUAAAAUAAAAUUUAAAAAAAAAGAGAAAAUAAAGUGAGUGAAAAAGAAAGAAAAGAGGGGCAAAAACAAAAUGGAAGAAAAAAGCGAGAAAUAAAAGAUUGAAAAUAGUAGAAAAGAGAAGGAAAAGAAAUCAAAGGUUGAAAUUUGAGAAAGAGAUAGCAAAGCGGGGAUGAAACACAUAGCCAUUGCAAAAACAUUUAGAAAUAUUUAACUGUUCAGUUGCAUUGCAUCCCCAAUGUACGAUUCCCUAUAUAUUAAAUGCCUCAAAACUGACAAGGUUGUUGUGCAUGUUAUUUAAACAGGUCUUGUUUAGGUGGUUGGUUUUGACGGAUCCUGGCUUCCCAACGUUACUUUACAAGAUCAAAAGGAAGUGUCCCAAUGUCUUCAGAAAGCAGUAUCCGCAUCAUCUAUCCUAAGGAUAAUGCCACUUCGGUUAUGAUCCAGCCUGAGUUGGCAACUGCUGAAGAAAACCAGAUGUUACGUGUUCACAUGUUUGAGAUAUGGGACACCUGGUCCAAUGGUAGAGAACCACCAAGUUCAAUCCCUAGAUUUCCCGAACGGAUUCCUAGGAUGGGUGGAACCACCACCAUCCCCAUCCCCAUCCCCAUGACUAAUCUAUUUGUCCGCUAGGGUACCCUACUAUGUCAGCCAACUUUACCGGUACGCCUUCUAAGGUCCGCCCUCAUGCACCAUUUAUAGGGGUACCCCAACAUUGCUCACUGUACUACCAAACUUUACCAUGGCACUGCCGACCCCGGCCAGGCCAUGCUAUGAGACUUUAACAUUCACAUUUCGGGCCCGUAAUUUCAGCCAGAUAUAACUCAUGUUACUCCAGACUCAUACCCUCAGCAUCAGCAAUAUAAGUCCCCAAUGGAACAAGAAAUAACAAUGAGAAACCUCGAGCAGGAAGAAAUGGCUCAGAAGAUGAGAAGCCUAGAGCAAAGCUUAAAACACAUGCAAGGCCUGAGUGGCCAGAAGAGUGUCUCCUACUCUGAUUUGUGCAUGUUUCCACAUGUUCACCUGCCAGUUAGCUUCAAAACGCCAAAGUUUGAAAAAUAUGACGGGCAUGGAGAUCUGAUCGAUCAUCUGAAAUGAUACUGCAAUAAGUUAAGGGGUGCUAGUUGAAAAGAAGAGUUAUUGAUGGCUUAUUUCGGGGAAUGCCUGACUGGAAUCACUUCAGAAUGGUACAAGGACCAAGAAAUCUCCCACCAACACAUAUGGGAUGAUUUGGCCCACGAUUUUGUCAGACAUUUUCAGUACAAUGUUGAUAUAGCUCCAGACAGGAACUCCUUGUUUAACUUGAAGAAGAGAACCAAUGAGAGCUUCCGUGAAUAUGCUAUUAAAUGGCACGAGCAGGCUGCCAGAGUAAAGCCCCCAUGGACGAGACCGAAAUGAUUACAAUAAUCUUGCAGGACCAAGAGGCCUAUUAUUUUCAGAAUAUGAUGUCUGCCAUGGCUAAACCGUUCGUAGAGGCAAUAAAAAUUGGAGAAAUGGUAAAAAAUGGUUUGAAAAAUGGCCGAAUAUUAAGCCAAUCUGCUUUGAGAGCUACCUCCCAAGCCAUCCAGAAUGGCUCAGGAGGUUUGGCCAACCGAAAGAAGAGGGAGGAAGGAGCCAUGAUGACUUCAGGUUCAAGAGGACCCCGUCAAUCACGUGAUCACUCUUAUAUGUUGCCCAGAACCCCACAACACUACUAUCCCCACCAAGAUGUAGUCUAUGCCGUGGCACCGCCUCCCUAUGUGGUGAUGAAUGCCUAACCCUACACACGGCCACAACAGCACUACAACCAAGCUCGAGCUCCACCUCCCAGAAAUAACCAUCUUUACCAAGCUCCAUAUAAUCCUCGUCCACCACAAUACAAAUACCAACAUAAUCUAUGCCCUCGUGAGCCACCUAGGAGAUGCAAUUUCACCCCUAUUGGUGAAUCCUACUCUAGCCUGCUUCAAAAUUUGAUCCAGUUGGGUCUGUUGCAGCAUGUGCCCCCUAAUCGACAAAAUCCUGAAUCCCCAUCAUACCGGGCAUGUGCCAGGUGUGCUUACCAUUUGGGGGUAGAGGGUCAUGAUACGUAGGAUUGUUAGACCUCAAAAAGGGCGGUUGAGAAUCUGAUAGAACAAAAACAGAUUGUGUUGAGGGACGAGGAAGUCCCUAAUGUGACUAACAACCCAUUAUCGGCUCAUAACAAUGGGCCAGUCAUUGGAAUGAUCUGUGAGGAUAAAGAAUUCAAUCCAGCUUUGAAAGUUAUCAUUGCCAUUGCCGAUUCAGAAACAAGACCCAAAGUUGCGGUAAAACAAGCCAAAACUGAAAAGAAAAUCACUCCAAUUCCUCAAGUGGAAGAAAAAGCUGUAGAAACAAAAACUGGGGCAACAUAUUCUAAGAACACAAUUCUCUAUGUUCCUAAAGCCCCAGGGAAAGAACAACUCACUUUGAAUACUCCCAAGAGAUUCGACCCAAUAAAGGUCACGUUGAAUAUGCCGAAGCUGUAUGUGCCAAAGGGGAAUUACGUCGCGCGGGAGAAAAUAAUUUCACCCAGGCUGACUAAGCCCGUGGUUAUCAGCCGUGCACCACAGAAUCCCAUGAGAGACCCCACCACAGUUCCCUGGAAUUACAACAAAACAAUGGUCACUUACAAGGUCAAAGAAGUCAUGGGAGAGGUAAACGAAAUGAAUCAACCUGGAAAGUACCAUAACCUAGAAGAGUUAAAGCUGAAAAAGGAUAAACGGUUUCCACCUAAAAAUCAUGUGAGCGCCGAGGAGGCUGAAGAGUUUUUUCGAAAAAUGAAAACUUCGGACUAUGGAAUAGUUGACUAACUCCGGAAGACUCCUUCCCUAGUCUCACUCCUAUAUCUGUUGUUGAGCUCAAAUGAUCAUCAGAAAGUACUCUUAAAGACAUUGAACGAGGCAUAUGUCCCAGUUGAAACUUCUGUUGAGCAACUAGAGAGAAUGGCAGAACGAUUCUUCGAGGUCAACAGGAUUUCUUUCAGCCGCGAGGAUUUGCCCCCAGAGGGAGCUACCCAUAAUAAAGCCCUUCACUUGACUGUAAAAUGUGGGGAUUACUAUGUGAAGAGAUUCAUGCUAGAUGGUGGUUCAGGGAUCGAUAUCUUCCCUCUUUCAACACUCUAGAGAAUGGAGAUUGGAACGGAAAGAAUCCGACCUAACAAUGUUUGUGUACGGGCUUUUGAUGGCAUCAAGAGAGAUACAAUAAGGGAAAUUGAUCUAAUUUUGACCAUUGGCCAUGUGGACUUCGAAAUGACUUUCCAGACUCUAGAUAUGGACACCUCAUACAAUUUUAUUUUGGGAAGACCAUGAAUUCACGCUGCUAGAGUCGUUCCCUCCACUCUCCACUAGAUGAUCAAAUUUGAGUACGAGAAUCAAGAAAUUGUUGUUCAUGGGGAAGACGAGCAGUCCAUCUACAGGGAUCCUUCAGUCACGUGCCUUGAAGCUAGGGAAGGCAGUGAGCAUAUUGUAUACCAGGAUUUUAAGAUUGUGGUUGCCGAUCAAUAUGAAGAAGGGGCACCAUGCCCAUAGACUUGCUUAUCUAAUGCCUCAGUCACGGUGGCCACUGAAAUGAUUAAAUAUGUGUACAAGCCCGGAAAGGGGCUCGGGGUAUCUCUACAAGGCAUCACAGAGCCCGUCACUUCGAUCGCCAAUGAGAAGUUUUGGCGUGGGUUUCCAAUCUAACGAAGCUAAUAGAAAAUGGGAGGAUAAGCGCAAAAAAAGGUUGGGUCCUACCCCAGCCUAUCCCACAUCUCUCCCGAUCAUUUGUCAAGCCCAUGUUUAUGGAAGAAGAAGAAGAAGAGGCCUUCACGGCGGAAGAGAUUGAUGAUAUUUGUGAGGCCAUGAAACAAAUGUUGUAUGCGGUUCACAUGGUCCAGCCAGGGGAAGGCACGAGUACUGCCGAGGUGCAGUAAAUGGGGCUAGAUGCCAAGCUUCAGAAUUGGAAGGUUACUCCAUUCUCUAUCAGAUGGGAGUCCCGGUAAUCUAGUCUUGCCAUCUCUUCUGCAUUACGAGUUAUUUCAGGGUGUAACUUGAAUGUUUUAUUUUUAUUGUCUUUUAAUUUCGAUGUAAACCCUCCUAUCUUCAAUGAAAUGAAAUGAAAUCAGUAUUUCAUCGUCUAUAGAUAUCUCUUCUCUUUUAUUCUGAUUUUGCUAUUUUUUUAUUUUUUUUCCUUUUCAGUUCUAAUAAGGUAGACUUAAAUAAUAUGACAUGCUUGCAGACUUCAUGCCCAGAUCCUAAAAUAUUGUCUAACUGUGAAAUAAUGAAUAAAGAACCAGAAUAUGAUGAAGAUGAGGCGUUUAGGAAAAUAAAUCGAGAAUUGGAAUAAUUUGAGAAUAAGCCUAAACUAAACUUAAAUGAAACCGAGCCAGUUAAUUUGGGCAGUUUAUAAGAGAUCAGAGAAACCAUGAUAAGCAUUUACACUGAUGAAAGAACUAGAGAUGUAUUAAUCCAACUUUUGUUUGAAUUCAAAGACGUGUUUGCAUGGUCCUAUAAUGAUAUGCCAGGAUUGAGCGUCGAUUUAGUGGUACAUAAAUUGCCGACCUAUCCCGACUAUCCAACUGUCCAACAGAAGAAGAGAAAGUGCAAGACAAACAUCAAUGAUAAGAUCAAAGAAGAAGUCACCAAACAACUAAAAGAUGGUGUGAUCCAAGUGGUCCGAUACACUACGUGGUUGGCUAAUGCGGUUCCAGUGCCGAAGAAAGAUGGAAAAACCCGAGUGUGUGUUGAUUAUCGGGAUUUGAACAAAUCAAUCCCCAAGGACAAUUUUCCAUUGCCAAACAUCAACAUUCUUGUUGACAAUUGUGCCAAGCAUGAUAUACAAUCUUUUGUUGAUUGUUAUGCUGGAUAUCACCAGGUUCUGAUGGAUGAAGAAGAUGCAGAAAAGACAGCUUUCACCACACCAUGGGGAACUUACUAUUACAGGGUCAUGCCAUUCGGUCUGAAAAUCACCGGGGCAACCUACAUGAGAGCUAUGACUGCCAUCUUCCAUAACAUGAUGCACCAAGAAAUUAAGGUGUAUGUGGAUGAUGUGAUCAUUAAAUCCAGAACGUAAGAAGACCAUGUGCGAGACUUGAGGAAGUUCUUUGAGCGUCUGCGCAUGUAUGAUUUGAAAAUGAACCCAACUAAAUGUGCAUUCGGAGUUCCAUCUGGGAAACUUCUAGGGUUUAUAGUCAGCCGGAGAGGUAUUGAACUAGAUCCAGCAAAGAUAAAGUCUAUUCGGGAUUUACCUCCUCCGAAAACCAAGAAAGAGUUCAUGCGUCUGCUAAGGAGGCUAAAUUAAAUCAAUAGAUUCAUUUCUCAGCUUACUACCACGUGUGAACCCAUAUUUAAGUUGCUGAACAAAGACGCAUCGAUCAAAUGGACAGAUGAGUGUCAAGAAGCUUUUGAUAAAAUCAAAGAAUAUCUGUCAAAUCUGCCAGUGUUGGUUCUGCCUGAGCCCAGAAGACCUUUGUUCUUGUACCUGACAGUCUUAGAAAAUUCUAUCGGCUGUGUCCUCGGGCAACAUAAUAUGACCGGGAAGAGAGAGAGCAAGCCAUAUAUUACCUGAGCAAAAAGUUCACCAGUUAUGAAGCCAAAUAUACGUUGCUAGAAAGAACUUGUUGCGCCCUCACUUGGGUCGCCUAGAAGCUCAGACAUUAUCUUUUGGCCUACACAACGUAUCGCAUAACAAGAAUGGACCCUUUGAAAUACAUAUUCCAAAAACCAAUACCCAUAGGAAGGUUAGCAAAAUGGCAAAUCCUGCUCACUGAGUUCGACAUUGUUUAUGUCACCCGCACGACGGUGAAAGCUCAAGCCUUGGAGUAUCAUCUAGCUGAGAACCCGGUUGAUGAUGAAUACCAAUCCCUAAGUACUUAUUUUCCGGACGAAGAAGUAAACUUGGUUGAAGUAAUUCCAGAAGACACUAAUGUUUGGAAAAUAUUCUUUGAUGGAGCUGUAAAUGUAAAAGGUGUUGGGAUUGGAGCGAUUCUGAUUUCGCCCACAGGUCAGCACUAUCCGGCCACAAACCGCCUUCGGUUCUUCUGUACAAAUAACACUGCUGAGUAUGAAGCCUGCAUUAUGGGCAUGAAUAUAGAAGUUGAUCUGGAUAUAGAGGAGUUGUUAAUCAUGGGGGAUUCUGACCUAAUUAUUCGGCAAGCCCAAGGUGAAUGGGAAACUCGAGACAUCAAGCUUUUAACAUAUAUGCAACAUGUGGAAGAACUUAGCAAACAGUUAAAGUUCGUCGAGUUCAGGUACAUUCCUCGAUUCCACAAUGAGUUAUCUGAUGCACUAGCUACCUUGGCCUCAAUGCUGCCAUACCCGGGAAAUGUCCAUAUUGACCCGCUGGAAAUCCAAAUUCGAGAAAGGCAUGGUUAUUAUAAUGCAAUUGAAAUAAAACCAUAUGUUCAACCAUGGUAUCAUGAUAUCAAAAGGUUUUUGAAAACAAAGGAAUAUCCCGAGCAGGCCAGUGGAAAUCGGAAGAGAACUAUCAAAAGGCUUGCCAGCAGCUUCUUUUUGAGCGGAGAGGUCUUGUACAAAAGAACUCCAAAUUUGAAUCUUUUAAGGUGUGUAGACACCCGAGAAGCUGAAAAGAUCAUGAACAAAGUGCAUUCUGGAGUAUAUGGGCCUCACAUGAAUGGAUAUGUCCCGGUAAAGAAAAUUCUCUGGGCAGGUUAUUACUGGAUGACCAUGGAAAAUGAUUGUUUCAGUUUCGUCCAGAAGUUCCAUCAAUGCCAGAUACACGGUGACCUGAUUCAUGCACCGCCUUCAGAGUUACAUCCUAUGUAGGCGCCCUGGCAGUUCGUUGCUUGGGGCAAGGAUGUUAUUGGGCCAAUCGAGCUAAAAGCUUCAAAUGGGCACAUAUUCAUCCUGGUUGUCAUUGAUUAUUUCAAAAAGUGGGUCAAAGCGGUCACUUUUAAAGCCGUCACUAAGAAAGAAGUGGUAGACUUCGUGCAUUCCAACAUUAUUUGUCAUUUUGGUAUUCCUAAAAACUAUUAUUACCGACAAUGCUGCAAAUCUGAACAGUCACUUGAUGAGAGAGGUAUACGAAUAGUUGAAAUUACGCAUCUCAAUUCUACCCCUUACCGACCCAAAGCCAAUGAUGCCAAUGAAGCGGCAAACAAGAACAUCAAGAAGAUUCUCAGGAAGAUGAUUCAAAGCUCCACGAAAUGGCAUGAAAAGCUGCCUUUUGCACUAUUGGGAUACCGCACAACCGUGCGAACAUCAGUUGGGGCUACUCCUUACUUAUUGGUCUAUGAAACUGAAGCUAUAAUACCCACAGAAGUUUAGAUUCCCUCUCUUCGGAUCAUUGUUGAAGCUGAGAUCGAGGACGAGUAAUGGGUCAAAACCCGGUUGGAAUAGUUGACUAUGAUUGAUGAAAAAUGGAUGGCCGCAGUUUGCCACGGGAAGUUGUACCAACAAAGAAUGGCCCGUGCCUACAACAAGAAAGUGCGGCCCAGGAAAUUUGAAGUGGCUCAACUCGUCCUGAGACGUAUUCUCCCGCAUCAUGAAGAAGCAAAAGGAAAAUUUGCUCCAAACUGGAAAGGUCCGUACAUUAUAAGAAGAGUGUUGCCAAAGGGAGCGCUAUAUUUGGGAGACAUUGAAGGAAAUGACCCCGAGACAACUGUCAAUGAAGAUGCGGUUAAGAGGUAUUAUGUUUGACCCCUUUGUCACAACUUUAACAUGCUCUGAUUGGGAUGACGAAUGCUUUUAUUCUCGCUACCCAAACACUACCCAUCCUUACAACUUUUUUGAGUCGGUUCCCUCUUUCUUUGGUUACCCUCUUUGGAACAUGGAAUUUGUUACUAAAAUAAAUGAUGAAAAAUAAAAAAUAUAUAUAAAAAAUAAAAACAAAAGAAAAAAAAACAAAAGAUCCUUUAACUACGUUUGACUUGAUUCCGAAAGGAUACGUAGGCAGCCUCUCUCUGGGGUUUAGUCACACCAAAAGAAAAAUUCAUACUUCCCCAAUGUUGAAACCGGGGCAGCUGUUAUAAUGUUUCGGCGAUGGUUUCGCCUGAAAGGUUCCAAAGUUGUAAUUCAAUCCAAAUCCUUUUUACCCGAAUCCUUUUAUGCCCUUCCGAUCAAUUGGUGAGAAUGUUCACAGAUCGGAGAAUACAGCUACUUGGAUCCGAUGCAAUCAAAAUGAGAGAAAUAAAAUGAGAGAGACUUAUUGGUGAAAAUCCUCACAGGUACUGUAAGGUGACGGUAAGCAGAGAAAUUGAAAAUGAGAGUCUUGUUAGUUAAAACUCACAAAGAGCAUUAUAAGACGACGGUGAGAAGGGAAAUAAGAGAGGUCAGCAUGUGAAAACCCGCAAAGGACGCCACUGAUCGAAAAGAGGUUCCUCAAUCACUGACAUUGACACAGUCCUAGGCAAGAUUUCUCGGUUUCGAGGAAAAUAUUGUGAGAAUUUCUGAGAGUCGGAGGGUUUACACAGAUCAGGGAUCCAGUCCAAGAGGCAUAUCAGGUUCAUUGAAGCCUGCAUGCACUCCAGAUAAGUCAUUCUUUCUCUUCCUCGAAAAGGACACCUCUUGUCUAAAUUCAUUGUCCAUUCCAUUGUUUGUUUUUCUUUGAAUCCCUUUCGGUCUAACUCUAUUCCAAACUAAGGCAAAGACGGGAUGGCAAGACUGAUUUAUAGGGUUCUCAUUUUAUAUGAGCUAAUAUACAAAAAAGGCACUCAACCUUGAUAGGGGCGUCAAGUUGACCCUAACUAGCCAUAGUAGCAGAUGUUUCGAAAUCAAAAGCUCUAAAAUUGAAAGCUUUGAAAAAAAAAAGAAUGUCAAAUGCUCACAAAGGCGAAACAAAGAUUGAAAAGGUUAGGUCCCACGUGACCAGCCGUUAUGGAAAGUUUGGGAAAGCCAAAGGUUCUACGAGGUCAGAAGUGCAAGCGAUAUUCAAGAAAUAACUAGUUGCAAGUGAAAAUUAUCAUCAAAGAAGUAGGCCACGAUCAAGUGACUAAAACACCCAAGGCCGCAAAACCAACCACCAUUUCAAACUGAGAAAUUAUUCUUUGUUUGAACCACAGGAAACAGGUGUAAUCCAAAGCAAUCUUGAAACAAGCAGGUGCAACCAAAAAGAAAAUCACGCGGAGACAGAAAUAGCUCUGCAACAACAACCACUCUAAAAAGGGGAAGUCUUCUCCAAAUGUUUUCCCGCAUUUUACUCAUUCUCUUUUAAAAAUGAAAUGAUUACAAAGAAAGAAAAUAAAGAAAAUUUAAUAUAGGGUCUCCAAUCCCUAGCUGCAUUUUCUAAUAUAGGGUUUACACUCCCUAUUUGAUUUUAUUUUAGACAUAUGGUCUCCACUCCCUAGUCGAUUUUCCAACAUAGGGUCUCCACUCCCUAGUUGAUUUGAUUUUUAGACAUAGUAUCUUCACUCCAUAGUCUUUUUUCCAAUAUAGGGUCUCCACUCUAUAGUUGAAUUUAUUUUNNNNNNNNNNNNNNNNUUUUCCAACAUAGGGUUUUCACUCCCUAGUUGAUGAUAUUUUAGACAUAUGGUCUCCACUCCCUAGUCUCUUUUCCAACACAUGGUCUUCACUCCCUAGCUGAUGAUAUUUUAGAUAUAGGGUCUCCACUCCCUAGUCUGCUUUUUCAACAUAGGGUCUCCACUCCCUAGUUAUUUUCAUUUUAGACAUAGGGUCUCCACUCCCUAGUCUCUUUUCCAACAUAAGGUAUUCACUCCCUAGUUUAUACUUUUUGUUAUACAUAGGGUCUUCACUCCCUAGUUGAUGCUUUAUUUUAGACAUAGGGUCUCCACUUCCUUGUCGCUUUUACAACAUAGGGUCUCCACUCUUUAGUUGAUACUUUAUUUUAGACAUAGGGUCUUCAGUCCAUAGUCUUUUUCCAACAUUGGGUCUCCACUCCCUAGUUGGCUUCAUUUUUAAUUUUUAGAUAUAGGGUUUCCACUCCCUAGUCUCUACUUUUCUCGGGGUGCACUAAUCCAGACCUUUUAUUGCUUUCAAUAAUGAAGUAGUACAGCGUUUUGAUACAAAUAACUCACGAAAGUUUUCUAGUGAAAACUGGGAAAGAAAAUUUCGUUUGUUUAUUUUGUUGUCCGAGUAGGUUUUACCUCGAGGCACGAGUUUGAGAUGCCCAAAAGAAGAAGGCUCAUUCCAAGAUAAAGAAAAGAAAAGAAAAGAAAAGCGAAUCCAAAAUACAGAAGCAGAUGAACGGAUAUAGACUGCUCAGGACAUGACCGAAGUCACGAGCAUUGCAUUUUCCGUUUUGUUCUGAAAGCCGAAGAAGAAUGAACUAGCACCUGCAGCUAGCAAGCAUCAAGGUUCAAAUCAGAGUCUGCAUGAAGAACCAUUCAAGACUCAAGAUCAAGCUUCAAAAGACUCAUAGAUAGAAAUCUUGUAACUCGUAGCUGAUAGGCUUAGUUAUUCUUUUUCAUUUUGACUUUGGAUUAAUAAGGAGCUCAGCAAACAGUAACAAUAGUGAAAUCACAGUUCUUCAGUAGGCCCAACUGCCAUAAUUUCCAGAACUACACUGACCUGAUUCCUUUAUAGCCAAGGAUAUGUAGGCAACCUCCGAAGCAAGGUUCGGUCAAACGUUUUCAAAAUGCUUCCCAUGGAGUAUCAGGCGGGCAAAAAUUGCUUAUAAUAGCUCAUUUUAUCUUUGCCCGAAAACUCUUCAUGUUCUCGAGCAAAGAGGAGCAGCUGUGAGCACGUGAUUUUUGCCCGAUUAAAAUACUCCUACAAAAUCCACAAAAAUAAAUCUUUCUACUUGUUUUUUAUAUCAUAAAAUUUUAGGAAUUCCCUUUUAAUUGUUUGUUUACAUUUAGUUGCAUUUUGUGCAUAUUUAAUAUUUUAAAAUCAUGAAAAAUAAUAAUAAUUUUUUUAAUUCUUCAUGGCAUGGAAUAUUAGGUUUAAUUGUAUUUUUAGAACUUAAUUGCAUUAUUAAAUGAAAAUCACAAAAAUACCAUAGUCAUGUUUAUAUUUUUUCUUUCAAUUUUAAAUUAAUUAGAGUUAAGUUAAUUAAUUAUUUAAAUAUUAGAAAUAGAUAAUUAGGUUUGGCAAAUUAGACUUGAUUUAGGAAUUAAUUUAGGUUGUUAAUUAAUUUGAUUAGAAGUUGAAAUCAAAGAAAAAGAAAAGAAGGAAAGAAAGGAAUAUUUUGUUUAGUCUUAUGCGGAAUUGGGCCAAAAGCAUAAUUCUAGCAGCCCAAGUGCCCAAAGCUCCACACUGCCAUGCCUAAUUACCACCAAACCCAACCCCGUCCAGCCCUAUUAAUCCUAAACGACCCCGUUUUGAUCUCUUCGAAUCCCCACCGUUCAUGCACCAGAUCCAACGAUCCAGAACUCAACACCCCUUUAGAUUUAAUUGUUCGAACCCCUUCCUAACCCUAGAGACCCCAAAACUCAUCUCCCCCACCUCUCUCUCAUGCCCCACCUUCCGUCGCCCUCAGAAAUCUCCCUACGACGGUGGUACCACUUCAAACUCACUCAAACUCACACCCCAUACUCCUCUCCUCAUCCUCAAUCCAAAUCUACCAUAAAUUUUCCCAAAAGACCUACCAAAUGCUUCAAAUUUCAGAUCUAAGAAGUCACAAAAACCUAAAUCCACCUCAUUUUGAGUUUUCCCAAAUUUUGGCCUACCUGAGGUUCAUACCAACGCUAAUUGAGCACUCUUGUUGAGAGUUAUCAAUUGGAGUCAGUUUUGGACCUAUUCUAGGCCACCCGAAUUCGGUCAUCAGUACACCACCAUGGAACCCCCAAAAUGUUGAUUUCUUUUGCCGGUAUAUGGCGGGCAUCGUCACAUAUAGCAUUGUCUACCCUCGAGUGUGGGCUAAUUCUCAUGUAACGAUGUCGGCUGCUAGCCGGAUGUCCUUUUCGAGCAACCUUGUCGUCUAUGGGUAAUCCUUCUUUUCAUUUCUUUAAUUACUGCCUAUUUUAGGAUAAUUGAUUGACAUUUUUGUGUUACAUGCUAUAGAUUAGGUUUAUUUCAAAUUAACGGCGUGUUUUUUAUUUGGCUUCAACUUUUGUCAAAUUAAUCAAUUCAUAGUUAUUUUAAGGUUGCAUUAAUAUAUUGAUUGUUAGUAUAACUUCUCGUAUGUUUAGCAUGUUCUAGAUUAGUUAGAAUUUCAAAUUUAUCAAUUCUGUGAUUAGGUCAAUGCUUUAAAAGCAUAGCAGUCAGUUUUAAUUAGGUUAAAGUGACUUUAAUUAGUUAAUUAUAUGUUUGAAUUAGUUUAACCACAUAAUAUUAGUUAAAGUUUGAAUAUUGCUUGUUGUGCUGUGAUUUUUUAAUCCAUCUAAUUUUUUAUGAUAGCUGUUUGUAAUUACUAAAAUACCAGGGGGCAAAAGAAAUUAGAAAAUCAGGGAAUCUUAGUUUGGAAUUGCCUAGAAGGUUCUAGAAAAGGGGGCUAAAAUACAAUAAAUAGAAGGAAUUAGGUCAAAUUUGGUUUAAAAGAGGUAAUUUUCAUAAGUUAAAAAGAGUGAAAAUGAGAAGAAACUUCUAGAAAAGGGACAAUUGUCCAAAUCUGUUAGAAAAGAUGCUGAAAUUGGAUACAUCUGUCCAUUUUCUGGUACUAAAGAUGCCAAUUCCCUGAAUUUUAGGGAAGGUUGGCAGGUUCCUUUUGGUUUAAUCCUAUUUCCUCAUAAGACAUAGGUAUCUUUCUAUAAAAGGAACCUUUAUCCUCACACUCUAGGACGAUUUUUUCAAGGACUGCACAUUCAUUCACUCAAAAAGACACGACCUUUACACAUAAAUUCUCUAAAAUUCAGAAUUCCUCCUUUCAUUACUUCAUUGAUUUUACAUUGAUUUUUGAAAAAUCCAUUAUCCUUCACUUUCAUUUUUAGUAAAGAAAAUUUCUGGAAACCCAACUUUGGGAUUUCAGAAACAAAAAAAAUACAAAGGUUUUCAUCAGCUUGCUUUACUAUCGGAUAGUUGUGUUUUUCAAGUUCUGGGUUUGAAGUUUGGUUGAGCUUCAUUUUCUGUGUUGGCUACUGUUUCAUUAAGUUGUAGCUGAUUCUGUUUUUAGCUGUGCUUCUCAAAUUCAGAGGCUUAUUUUUUUGUUGUUCUUUGUUGCUGUUGAGGUAUUACUCUUGAUCAAAUAAUAUAAAUUUCAGUUUGUUUGAAUUAUGAAACUGUUUUCUGCAGUAUGGUGACUGUGUUUGGUGUUUAUCAAACUGUGUGUGUUGUUUAAUUAUUGUUGGAAUGUGGCUAUGAGCUAUGAGUUGAAUUAAUGCAAUGUAUCGUAUUAAAUAAUGACUAAGAUCCAUUUAUUUGAAGUUAUCUGUAGACAUGUAUGAAAUUACUCAUCUAUACAAUUUAUUCUUUAGCCUUGAAGUUUAUAGUUUGUUACCAGUUAGAAUUAAAGACUGUGAUAACCUACACUUGAUAAGGUGUUUGUUUAAGUUGUAAAAUUUUACCAGUGGUGAUUUUGGAUUUGCAUGCUAGCUUGAAAGCCUCAGUGACAGAUGCACACAUAGCUCUAAUUCAGGUUUCAAUUGCUAAUGGGUUUGGCUAAACCAGUAGAUAUUAAAGCAUAAGAAGGAAACACCAAAAGUGUUUAGAUACUCCAGUGCAAGUGGUGUGUUGAUUUCAUCCUAAAGCUGUUAUCUAGUUCAAUUGUCAUGGUUGCUCUGUUUUCUGUAUCUAUGUAGUCAUUCAUGAAUUGUAAUUAGAGUAAUUGAAACUGUGAUUCAAGAUUUGUUAUUCUUUAAUGAUGCAAAUGGGUAUUGUUUCUUUUUAGGCUUGUAUAAUUGUGUAUAAUUGGGUAUUGAAUAUGAUUUAAGGUUAGUUACCUUUUAUUGGGCCUGGCGUGGGCCAAUUUUGUAAAAGAAUGUUUGGCCAAGGGAAGAAAUCCUAUUUCCAGUUGGUUAGUGGAGUUUUAUUAUUCACUUGGGCUCAAUUUUGAGCCCAGUGUUAUGUGCUGAUACUUUUUAAAAGGAAUUAUCACAUCUGGGCCUCACCUAAAAAUCCACAUGCAAUUUGCUUAGCCCAUUAGAGAUCCUUCGCCAAUGUUUAAUGAAAUUGAGCCCAUAUUUGUUUAAUUUCGCCUAGAUCACGACUUUACCAAUAAUCUCAAAUUAGAAUAGGAAAUAAAUCACAAAUAUUCGUAGAAAUGCUUUAGGCGCGUUCUUUAAAUUACUAUCGUGAUUGUGUACACAUUCGUUUGACAUAAUUAUAAUUUGCUAAAAUAAAUCUAAGUACACGUUCGCGUGAGUUUGUCCAAACAAUCAUAAUAACAAUAAAGUGUUAUUAGCUGUAUACACGUACGCAUGACAUGAUUUUGACAUACCAAAACAAGACGAAUACCGUACGCGUGAUUCGAAUAAUCGAGUAAUUAAAAGUGGUAAAAGGUAAAAAUACACAUAGGUUCUAAAAAUACGUAAUUAAAUAAAUUAGUUAAGCCAGGUAUGAUUAAAGAGACCGCGCUAAAACCACGGAAUCCGAGAAUGCCUAACACCUUCUCCCGGGUUAACAAAAUUCCUUACCCGAUCUUCUGUAUUCGCAGACUUUAAAACAAUGUCAAAUUUCCUCGAUUUGGGAUUUACAAUAAAUCGGUGACUUGGACACCAUAAUAAUUAUUCCAAGUGGCGACUCUUAAAAUCAAAUAAAUAAUCUCAUUUCGAACAAUGUCACUUUAAUUGGAAAAACUCUCUAUCCCUAUCGGGAAAAAAAGGCGUGACAACUCUGGCGACUCUGCUGGGGAUCGAACUCAGAAUCUCUGGUUCAAGGUUAAAAAUUCGAGCUUGUAAUGUGAUCUAUACUUGACUUUAUUGUUUGUUGAUAUUGCUGUGUUUGUGGGCCUUAUGUGCUAAUUGUCGCUCAUUUACCUCCUUAUAUUAUAUGAACUGUAUUAUAUCUGUCUUCUUACGACUCCCGUCUAAGUCUUCUAAAAAUUUGGUGCACACGUACCCGUGGCCCACUUUUCUGUUAGAGGUCGUACCAAAUAGAACGAGGCUGGAUCAGUAACUAGACCGGGUAGACUUUCGUGCUCUCGGUACAUUGCCCCCACCCCGUCUCGAGCUGUCUGCUUGGGUAAGCCAUUUCUAAAAUACACCCCCAGGUUUAAACCUAGAAUAACAUAGCCUAAUGCCAGAUCCCUAGUAGGAACGUUUGUUUGCAUCAUGUGCAUUUGACUUUGGGGACUCAACACAGGGAUUGGGUCCGUCUAGGAUAGGUGUACCCAAAAUUACAAGAUCAUCCUGAUGUAUCCUACGUGCUACCUGUGCAUUUAUUUAUUUCGGUUUGCAUGUUGAUUGGCUAGGAAAAGAAAAUCAAGAGAAAAACCAAGAGUGAGGUAGGAGAGGGAAAUUUGUCUGGUUCUAAAAACCCCGGUAUUUGAAAAAAUGCCGAAAAUCUGCCAAAACUUUUGAAAAAAGAGAGAAGAAAAUGAAUUUCAAAAUGAAUCAAUAUCAUGUUUUUCCGAUUAUGUCAAAACUGACCGAACUACGCAGGUCUGAUUCUCACCGGAUGUGAGAUACGUAAGCAAACCUCAUCGGUUCUGGCCCCAAUUUUUUAAAAACCCAAAAAUAAAAAUGUGUCAGUUGCUUUGGUCAAAAGAGAAAGCCGACCCAACUUCGGUUGCGUCUUGCACCGUUUUUGCCAGAAUAGCCUUAGAACAUCUUUAAAUUGUCGAAGGGCUAUUCUCGCAAAGAACAAAUAUGUCUGUCAAUGGGGACUCACUUUUCCCAUGAAGUACCUUUCCCCGGCCUCAAACUUUAAUCGAAAGUGGGAAGGGGCCAUUAUUGCAAAUAUGGCCAUCGUUGGCUAAUAUUGCAUAAAUAGCCACCCUUAUUUGAUUUCUCCUUGGAAAAUUGAAAACUUGUUUUGCAAAAGAUUCCACUGGUCUAUCUUUCGAACUAGAGUCAACCCUAACUCUAACCAUUCACAGGUACAAAAUGAACACUCUCUAGAACCCGCCAUUAAAUGUUGUUGAGCAGGUUCCAUUGCAGUUUCAAAUGUGGUGGUAUGACGUGGAUAAAGAUAGUUAGGAUUGGGUAGUAAAACAUUUGGGUGCUCUCACAAAUUUUAUGAAAAUCAAACCUCGGGAUGAUCUGAUCAAGGCCUUGGUAACUUUCUGGGAUCCCGUCCACAAUGUCUUUCGCUUCUCAGGUUUUAAGCUUACCCCCACUCUGGAGGAAUUAGCCGGAUGUACUGGUUUCGGUCGGGACUUGAGAAAUCAACAACUUAUAUUUCCAAGGCCUCCCUCUGUGCAACGAUUCUUUGAUAACCUGAAUAUCAGUAAGCAAAUAAGGAAGAACAAUGUAAACAAUGGAUAUUGAUCCUUCUGCUUCAUGUAUUCCAUAUAUGGGCACUCAAAUGGGUUUGAAGCACAUGAAAAGAGCCUGAAUAACAAGCCAAAUAAGUACAUCAGGAAAAUUCAUCGUCGCUUUGCUUUCAUAGUGGCGUUUCUGGAAAAUAUGGUCUUCCCAAAUGAAAAACGGACAAUUGAUAUCCGCAUGGCCAGAAUUGCGCAAGUCCUCACUACCAAAGAAUAUCACAUGCUUGCUCCACUUAUAUUAUCGGACAUAUAUCGAGCAUUGACGCAGUGUAAGUCUGGGGGGACGCUUUUUGAAGGUUGCAAUAUUCUUUUGCAAAUGUGGUUAAUUGAACAUCUCCUCCAUCACCCAAAAUUCAUGAGUUAUGGCCCGAGCAAGAACAACUUCAUCGAGAGUUUUGAGGAAAGGGUAAAAGAUUACAACUCUCCAGAAGGGGUAGAAGCUUGCAUAUUCCAUCUAAUAACUCUAAAGGUGAGUCAGAUUGAAUGGACUUUGGGAUGGCUCCCGGUAAGGGAAGUCAUACAUAUGACGUCUAGAAAGAGCUAUUUGUUGUUGAUGGAUUUGAGAAGUGUCCAACCGUAUGCACCGUAGAAAGCUCUAAGACAGUUGGGAAGAUACCAAGUGGUUCCCGAAGAUGAAGAUUUAAGUGUCCAAGUCAUUGAGCUACACCAUGAAGCCCCACUACCCAAGGCUUUAAUCCAGCAAACUUGGAAUAGUUGUCGAUACCUGAAAGAGGAUACCCAAGUACCAGAUCUUGCGAGAGGUGAGGUAGAUAUAGGUUAUGCCACAUAGUUUGAGAGAAGUUAUUGCGUUACUGAUGAGCUAGAGCCCGAGCCCGAAAGGCCCGCCAAAAAACCUCAUAUUCAGGCUUUUGAUGACAAAGUCCGAGAACGGUUGGCCUAGGAGAAAAGGAUAAGAAAUAUCAAGCCAACAUCCAUCCCUUAGAAGAAAAGUUGAGAAGCCUCACAUUUGACAAUAACUUACAGGAGGAGGAGGCUGAAGGUGAAAAGAGAAGGUUGACCUGAGAGAACGAGGCACUCUGAGCCCAACUCCAGGACAUGAGGACAGCCGCUGAAACGCCUAUGAGGAGUGAGAAAGAUGAUUAUGCAGUUGACUUAAGGUUAAAGGUGCAUGAUUAUGCAGCUGACUUGACAAAGGCCGAGAGAUACUUGCUAAAAGCUCAAGUAAAGUUGGCCAAAGGUGCGGAAGAACAUGCUAGAUUAGCCCACCAGUUGAAGCAGAAAUACGACAGAGAAGUAACAGUUCUAAAGAAAAAGUUGGCCGCCCUUGAGAAUGAAAUGGUCCAACAAACAAAGGAUUUCAAGGCAGAAAGAGAGCAUUGCUAUGUAUUCCUUUACCAAUUAGAAGAAAGUAUGCAACAGUUGCAAGACCAAAACAACACAGCCACACAGGUGCUGGAAGCCCGGGCAUAGCAAAUUGGAUGCUUGCUUCAAGAAAAGGGUGUCAUCAUAAUGAGAAUCAAAGAGAUAAUUGAUUAUGUUGUAAUGAAAUGACAUGAAUGUGAAUACAUGACUAGGUCUAUGUUUUUUGCUUCUGUGAUGACCUUUGUUCACAAGGUGAUGGUUGACCUAGACCACCUUCAAAAAGAGAUUGCAUGUAGGCCCACGCUGAGAUGGGCUGAUGUCCCACGGGCCCCCCGGAGUACCAGUGGAGGCUCUUAUGUAUUUUUUGGUUUUGAGUCUGUAUUUUACUUUUUCUCGAGUUUUGUUCGUCUUUGUCAAGGCUGUUUUGUUUCGAGUCUAUAUGAUUUCUUUUGUAGUCAUCAGUACUUCAGAGUCCUUGUAAUAGAAAAACCCAAAAAGAUGUCUUUAUUAAUAAAAUAUUGAAAACCCCAAAAAAAAUCAUUUCUUUUAUUUCGCAUUUAUUUCCUGAACUACGUAAUGAUCUAAUUCAUGCGGCAUCAUGAUAUGUAGGCAAUCCCCAUAUGAUUCGAUCAUAGCUAUAAAAUAAAAUUUUAAAAAAAGAAAAAAAAUUGAGUGAAAAAGAGGGGCAGAAACAAAAGGGAAGAAAAUAGCGAGAAAUAAAAGAGCAAAAAAUAGUAGAAAAGAGAAGGAAAAGAAAUCAAAAGUUGAAAUUUGAGAAAGAAAUAGCAAAGCCGGGAUGAAACACACAACCAUUGCAAAGACAUUUAGAAACGUUUAACUAUUCAGGUGCAUUGCAUCCCCAAUGUGUGAUUCCCUAUCUGUUAAAUGCCUCAAAACUGACAAGGUUGUUGUGCGUGCUAUUUAGACAGGCCUUAUUUAGGUGGUUGGUUUUGACGGAUCCUGGCUUCCCACCGUUACUUUACAAGAUCAAAAAGAAGUGUCCCAAUGUCUUCAGAAAGUAGUCUCCACAUCAUCGAUCCUAAGGAUAAUGCCGCACCGGUUAUGACCCAGCCUGAGUAGGCAACUGCUGAAGAAAACAGGAUGUUAUGUGUUCACAUGUUUGAGAUGUGGGACACCUGGUCCAAUGGUAGAGAACCACCAAGUUCAAUCCCUAGAUUUCCCGAACAGAUCCCCAGGACGGGUGGAACCACCAACAUCCCCAUCCUUAUGACUAAUCCAUCUAUCCGCUAGGGUACCCUACUAUGUCAGCCAACUUUACCGGUACGCCUUCUGAGGUCCGCCCCCAAGCACCAUUUAUAGGGGUACCCCCAACAUUGCUCACUACACCACCAGUCUUUACCAUGGCACUGCCAACCGCGGCCAGUCCAUGCUAUGAGCCUUUAACAUUCACAUUUUGUGCCCGUAAUUUCAGCCAGAUACAACUCAUGUUACUCCAGACUCAUACCCUCAUCCUCCGCAAUAUGAGUCCCCAAUGGAUCAAGAAAGAACAAUGAGAAACCCCGAGCAGGAAGAAAUGGCUCGGAAGAAGAGAAGCCUAGAGCAAAGCCUAAAACACAUGUAGGGCCUGAGUUGCCAGAAGAGUGUCACCGACUCUGAUUUCUGCAUGUUUCCACAUGUUCACCUGCCAGUUGGCUUCAAAAUGCAAAAGUUUGAAAAAUAUGACAAGCAUGGAGAUCCGAUUGAUCAUCUGAAAUGAUACUGCAAUAAGUUAAGGGGUGCUAGUUGAAAAGAAGAGGUAUUCAUGGCUUAUUUUGGGGAAAGCCUGACUGGAAUCGCUUCAGAAUGGUACAUGGACCAGGAAAUCUCCCACCGGCACAUAUGGGAUGAUUUGGCCCACGAUUUUGUCAGACAAUUAUAGUACAAUGUUGAUAUAGCUCCAGACAUGAACUCCCUGUCUAACUUGAAGAAUAGAACCACUGAGAGAUUCCGUGAAUAUGCUAUUAAAUAGCGAGCAGGCUGCUAGAGUAAAGCCACCCAUGGACGAGACCGAAAUGGUUACAAUCUUCUUGCAUGCCCAAGAGGUCGAUUAUUUUCAGAAUAUGAUGUCUGCCAUGAGUAAACCGUUCGUAGAGGCAAUAAAAAUCGGAGAAAUGGUAGAAAAUGGUUUGAAAGGUGGCAGGAUAUUAAGCCAAUCUUCUUUGAGAGCUACCUCCCAAGCCCUCCAGAACGGCUUAGGAGGUUUGGCCAACAGAAAGAAGAGGGAGGAAAGAUCCAUGAUGACUUCAGGUUCAAGAGGGCCCCGUCAAUCACGUGAUCACUCUUACAAGACGCCCAGAACCCCACAGCACUACUAUCCCCACCAAGAUACAGUCUAUGUCGUGGCACCGCCUCCCUAUGCGGUGAUGAAUGCCCAACCCUACACACGGCCACAUCAGCAGUACAACCAAGCUCGAGCUCCACCUCCCAGAAAUAAAAAUCCUUACCAAGCUCUAUAUAAUCCUCGUCCACCACAAUAUAACCGCCAACAUAAUCCAUGCCCUCGUGAGCCACCUAGGAGAAGCAAUUUCACCCCUAUUGGUGAAUCCUACUCUAGCCUACUUCAAAAGUUGAUCCAACUGGGUCUGUUGCAGCAUGUGCCCCCUAAUUGACAAAAUCCUGAAUCCCUAUCAUACCGGGCAGGUUCCAGGUGUGCUUACCAUUCGGGGGUAGAGGGUCAUGAUACGUAGGAUUAUUGGACCUUAAAAAGGGCGGUUAGGAAUUUGAUAGAACAAAAACAAAUUGUGCUGAUGGACGAGGAAGUCCCUAAUGUGACUAACAACCCAAUGUCAGCUCAUAACAAUGGGCCGGUCAUUGGAAUGAUAUGUGAGGAUAAGGAAUUCAAUCCAAUUUUGAAAGCUAUCAUUGCCAUUGCCGAUUCAGAAACAAGACCCAAAGCUGCGAUAAAACAUGCCAAAACUAGGAAGAAAAUCACUCCAAUUCCUCAAGUGGCAAAAAAAGUUGUAGAAACAAAAACUAGGGAAACAUCUGCUAAGAACACAAUUCUCUAUGUUCUUAAAGCCCCAAGGAAAGAACAACUCACUUUGAAUUCUCCCAAGAGAUUCGAGCCAAGAAAGGUCACGUGCCGAAGCUGUAUGUGCCAAAGGGGACUUACAUGGCGCGGGAGACAAUAAUUUCACCCGGGCUGACUGAGCCCGUGGUUAUCAUCCAUGCACCACAGAACCCCAUGAGAGACCCCACAGCAGUUCCCUGGAAUUACAACAAAAUAGUGGUCACUUACCGGGGCAAAUAAGUCAUGGGAGAGGUAAACGAAAUGAAUCAACCUCGGAAGUACCAUAACCUAGAAAAAUUAAAGUUGAAAAGGGAUAAACGGUUUUCACUAAAAAACAUGUGAGCGUGGGGAGGCAGAAGAGUUUUUUUGAAAAAUAAAAACUUUGGACUAUGGAAUAGUUGACCAGCUCCGGAAGACUCCUUCCCUAGUCUCACUCCUAUCUCUAUUGUUGAGCUCAAAUGAUCAUCAGAAAGUACUCUUAAAGAAAUUGAACGAGGCAUAUGUCCCAAUUGAAACUUCUUUUGAGCAACUAGAGAGAAUGACCGAAUGAUUCUUCGAGGUCAAUAGGAUUUCUUUCAGCCGCGAUGAUUUUCCCCCAGAGGGAGCUGCCCACAACAAAACCCUUCACUUGACUGUCAAAUGUGAGGGCUACUAUGUGAAGAGAGUCAUUCUAGAUGGUGGUUCAGGGGUUGAUAUCUGCCCUCUUUCAACACUCCAGAGAAUGGAGAUUGGAACGUAAAGAUUCCGACCUAACAAUGAUUGUGUACGGGCUUUUGAUGGCAUCAAGAGAGAUACAAUAGGGGAAAUUGAUCUAAUUUUGACCAUUGGCCCUGUGAACUUCGAAAUUUUUCCAGAUUCUAGACAUAGACACCUCAUACAAUUUUCUUUUGGGAAGACCAUGGAUUUACGUUGUUAGAGCCAUUCCAUCCACUCUCCACCAGAUGAUCAAAUUUGAGUACAAGAAUCAAGAAAUUGUUGUUCAUGGGGAGGACGAGCAGUCCAUCUACAGGGAUCCUUCAGUCUCAUGCCUUGAAGCCAGGGAAGGCAGUAAGCAUAUUGUAUACCAGGCUUUUGAGAUUGUGAUUUCUGAUCAAUAUGAAGAAGGGCCCCCAUGCCCAUAGCCUUGCUUAUCUAAUGUCUCAGUCAUGGUCAACACUGAAAUGAUUAAACAUGGGUACAAGCUCAGAAAGGGGAUCGGGGUAUCUCUACAAGGCAUCACAGAGCCCGUCACUUCGAUCGCCAACGAGAAGUUUUUUGGCGUGGGUUUCCAAGCUACCGAAGUUGAUAGAAAAUGGGCGGAUAAGCGCAAAAAAGAAGGUUGGUUCCUACCCCAGCCUAUCCCACAUCUCGCCCGAUCAUUUGUCAAGCCCAAAUAUGUAAAAGAAGAAGAAGAGGCCUUCACGGUCGAAGAGAUUGGUGAUAUUUGUGAGGCCAUGUAACAAAUGUUGUAUGCGGUUCACAUGGUCCUGUCACGGGAAGGCACGAGCACUGCCGAGGUGCAGUGUAUGGGGCUAGAUGCCAAGCUUUAGAAUUAGAAGGCUACUCCAUUCCCUGUCAGACGGGAGUCCCAGUAAUCUAGUCUUGCCAUCUCUUCUGCAUUACGAGUUAUUUCAGGGUGUAACUCGAAUGAUUUAUUUUUAUUGUCUUUUAAUUUAGAUGUAAACCCUCUUAUCUUCAAUUCAAUGAAAUGAAAUCAGUAUUUCAUCGUCUAUAGAUGUCUCUUCUCUUUUAUUCUGAUUUUGCUAUUUUCUUUUUCUUUUUCUCUUUUUUUCUUUUUUUCUUUUCAGUUCUAAUAAUGCGGACUUAAAUAACAUGACAUGCUUGCAGACUUCAUGCUCGGAUCCUAAAACAUUGUCUAACCGUGAUAUAAUGAAUCAAGAACCAGAAUAUGAUGAAGAUGAGGCUUUUAGGGAAAUAAACCAAGAAUUGGAACAACCUGAGAAUAAUCCUAAGCCAAACUUAAAUGAAACCGAGUGAGUUAAUUUGGGUAGUUCAGAAGAGAUCAGAGAAACUAUGAUAAGCAUUCACACUGAUGAAAGAACUAGAGAUGCAUUAAUCCAACUUUUGUUUGAAUUCAAAGACGUGUUUGCAUGGUCCUAUGAUGAUAUGCCAGGACUGAGUGUUGAUUUAGUGGUACAUAAAUUGUCGACCUAUCCCGGCUAUCCACCUGUCUAACAAAAGCAAAGAAAGUUCAAGACAGAUAUCAGUGAUAAGAUCAAUGAAGAAGUCACCAAACAACUGAAAGGCGGUGUGAUCUGAGUGGUCCGAUACGCCACGUGGUUGGCUAAUGUGGUUCCAGUGCCAAAGAAAGAUGAGAAAACCCGAGUGUGUGUUGAUUAUCGGGAUUUGAACAAAGCAAGCCCCAAGGAAAAUUUUCCAUUGCCAAACAUCCACAUUCUUGUUGACAACUGUGCCAAGCAUGAGAUACCGUCUUUUGUGGAUUGUUAUGCUGGAUAUCACUAGGUUCUGAUGGAUGAAGAAGACGCAAAAAAGACAGUUUUCACCACACCGUGAGGCACUUACUGUUACAGGGUCAUGCCAUUCGGUCUGAAAAACGUCGGGGCAACCUACAUGAGAGCUAUGACUGCCAUCUUCCAUGACAUUAUGCACCACGAAAUUGAGGUGUAUGUGGAUGAUGUGAUCAUUAAAUACAUAACGCAAUAAGACCAUGUGCGAGACUUGAGGAAGUUCUUUGAGUGUCUGCGCAUGUAUGAUUUGAAACUGAACCCAGCUAAAUGUGCAUUUAGAGUUCCAUCUGGGAAACUUCUGGGUUUAUAGUCAGUCGAAGAGGUACUGAACUAGAUCCGGCAAAGAUAAAGUCUAUUCGGAAUUUACCACCUCCUAAAACCAAGAAAGAGGUCAUGAGUCUGCUAGGGAGGUUGAAUUACAUCAGUAGAUUCAUUACUCAACUUACUACCAUGUGUGAACCCAUAUUUAAGUUGUUGAAUAAAGACGCAUCGAUCAAAUAGACAGAUGAGUGUCAAGAAGCUUUUGAUAAAAUCAAAGAAUAUCUGUCAAAUCCGCUAGUGUUGGUUCCGCCUGAGCCCGGAAGACCUUUGUUCUUGUACCUGACAGUCUUAGAAAAUUCUAUCGGUUGUGUCCUCGGGCAACAUGAUGUGACCGGGAAGAGAGAGAGCAAGCCAUAUAUUACCUGAGCAAAAAGUUCACCAGUUAUGAAGCCAAAUAUACGUUGCUAGAAAGAACCUGUUGCGCCCUUACUUGGGUCGUCCAGAAGCUCAGACAUUAUCUUUUGGCCUACACAAUGUAUCGCAUAACAAGAAUGGACCCUUUGAAAUACAUAUUCCAAAAACCAAUGCCCACGAGAAGGUUAGCAAAAUGGAAAAUCCUGCUCACUGAGUUCGACAUUGUUUAUGUCACCAGCACGACGAUGAAAGCUCAAGCCUUGGCGGAUCAUCUAGCUGAGAACCCGGUUGAUGAUGAAUACCAACCCCUACGUACUUAUUUUCCGGACGAAGAAGUAAACUCGAUUGAAGUAAUUCUAGAAGACACUAAUGCUUGGAAAAAAUUCUUUGAUGGAGCUGUAAAUGCAAAAGGUGUCGGGAUUGGAUCGAUUCUGAUUUCGCCCACAAGUCAGCACUAUCCGUCCACAGCCCGCCUUCGGUUUUUCUGUACAAAUAACACCGCUGAGUAUGAAGCCUGCAUUAUGGGCAUGAAUAUGGCAGUUGAUCUGGAUAUAGAGAAAUUGUUAAUCAUGGGGGAUUCUGACCUGAUUAUUCGGCAAGCCCAAGGUGAAUGGGAAACUCGAGACAUCAAGCUUAUCCUAUACAGGAAACAUAUGGAAGAUCUUAGCAAAUGGUUCAAGUCCGUCGAGUUCAGGUACAUUCCUCGAUUCCAUAAUGAGUUAUCUGAUGCACUAGCUACCUUGGCCUCAAUGCUACCAUACCAGGGAAAUGUCCAUAUUGACCCGCUGGAAAUCCAAAUUCGAGAAAGGCAUGGUAUUGUAAUGAAAUUGAAAUAGAACCAGAUGUUCAACCAUGGUAUCAUGAUAUCAAAAGGUUUUUGAAAACAAAGGAAUAUCCCGAGCAAGCCAGUGGAAAUCAGAAGAGAACUAUCAGAAGGCUUGCCAGCAGUUUUUUUUUUAGCAGAGAGAUCUUGUACAAAAGAACUCCAGAUCUGAAUCUUUUAAGGUGUGUAGACGCCCGAGAAGCUGAAAAGAUCAUGAACGAAGUGCAUUCUGGAGUAUGUGGGCCUCACAUGAAUGGAUAUGUCCUGGCAAAGAAAAUUCUCCGAGCAGGUUAUUACUAGAUGACCAUGGAAAAUGAUUGUUUCAGUUUCGUCCGGAAGUUUCAUCAAUGCCAGAUACAUAGUGACCUGAUUCAUGCACCGCUUUCAAAGUUACUUCUUAUGUCGGUGCCUUGGUCGUUCGUUACUUGGGGCAUGGAUGUUAUUGGGCCAAUCGAGCCGAAAGCUUCAAAUGGGCACAGAUUUAUCCUAGUUGCCAUUGAUUAUUUCACAAAGUGGGUCGAAGUGGUCACUUUCAAAGCCGUCACUAAGAAAGCAGUGGUAGCCUUCAUGCAUUCCAAUAUUAUUUUUCGUUUGUUUACUCCUAAAACUAUCAUUACCGACAAUACUGCAAAUCUGAACAAUCACUUGAUGAGGGAUGUAUGUGAACAGUUUAAAAUUACACAUCACAAUUCUACCAUUUACCUACCCAAAGCCAAUGGUGUUGUUGAAGCGACAAACAAGAACAUCGAGAAGAUUCUCAGGAAGAUGAUUCAAAGCUCUAGGCAAUGGCAUGAAAUGCUGACUUUUGUACUAUCGGGAUACCGCACAACCGUGCGAACAUUUAGGGCUACUCCUUACUUAUUGGUCUAUGGUACUGAAGCUGUAAUACCAGUAGAAGUUGAGAUUCCCUAUCUUCGGAUCAUUGUUGAAGACGAGAUCGAGGACGGGGAAUGGGUCAAAACCCGGUUGGAACAGUUGACUAUGAUUGAUGAAAACUGGAUGGCCGCAGUUUUCCACGAGCAAUUGUACCAACAAAGAAUGGCCCGUGUCUACAACAAGAAAGUGCGGCCCAGGAAAUUUGAAGUGGGUCAACUCGUCCUGAGACGUAUUCUCCUCAUAAAGAAGCAAAAGGAAAAUUUUCUCCAAACUAGAAAGGUCUGUACAUUAUAAGGAGAGUGUUGCCAAAGGGAGUGCUAUAUUUGGGAGACAUUGAAGGAAAUGACCCCGAGACAGCUGUCAAUGCAGAUGCGGUGAAGAGGUAUUAUGUUUGACCCUUUUGUCACAGCAUUAACAUACUCUGAUUGGGAUGACGAAGGCUUUCAUUCUCGCUACCCAAACACUACCCAUCCUUACAACCUUUUUGAGUUGGUUCCCUCUUUCUUUGGUUACCCUCUUUGGAACAUAGAAUUUGUUACUAAAAACAAUGAUGAAACUUAAAAAAAUUAAAAUUAAAAUUAAAAAAAACAAAAGAAAAAGAAAAAGAAAAUAAAAUAAAAAAGUUCCUUGAACUACAUUUGACUUGAUUCCGAAAGGAUACGUAGGCAGCCUCUCUCUGGGGUUCAUUCACACCAAAAUAAAAAUUCACACUUCCCCAAAGUUGAAAUUGAGGCAGUUGUUAUAAUGUUUCGGCUAUGGUUUUGCCUGAAAGGUUCCAAAGUUGUAAUUCAAUCCACAUCCUUUUUACCUGAAUCCUUUCAAGCCCUUCCGAUCAAUCGGUGAGAAUGUUCAAGGAUCGGAGAAUAUGGUAACUUGGAUCCGAUGCAAUCAAAAUGAGAGAAAUAAAAUGAGAGAGUCUUAUUGGUGAAAAUCGGGCACCGUAAGGCGACGGUAAGCAGAGAAAUUGAAAAUGAGAGAGUCUUGUUAGUAAAAACUCGCAAAGAGCACUAUAAGGCGACAAUGAGAAGAGAAAUGAAAGAGGUCAGCUAGUGAAAACCCGCAAAGAGCGCCACUGAUCGAAAAGAGGUUCCUCAGUCACUGACAUUGACACAGUCCUAGUCAAGGUUUCUCGAUUUCGAAGCAAAAGUUGUGAUGAAUUUCUGAUAGUCGGACAGUUUACACAUAUCAGGCAUCCAGUCCAAGAGGCAUGUCAGGUUCAUUGAAGUCUGCAUGCACUCCAGAUAAGUCCUUCUUUCUCUUCCCCGAAAGUGACACCUCUUGUCUAAAUUCAUUAUCCAUUCCAUUGUUUGUUUUUAUUUGAAUCCUUUUCGAUCUAACUCUGUUCCAAACUAAGGAAAAGAUGGGAUGUCAAGACUGAUUUAUAGGGUUCUCAUUUGAUACGAGCUAAUAUGCAAAAAAGGCACCCAACCUCAGCAGGGGCAUCAAGUUGACCCCAAUUGGCCAUCAUAGCCGGUGUUUCGAAAUCAAAAGCUCAUAAAAAAAGGAAAUCAAAUUGAAGUGCCUAUAAGGGAAAAUGAAGUUAAAAAGGUUUAGUCCCACGUGGAUAAACGUUAUGGAAAUGUGUCAAAAGCCAAAGGUUCCCCAACGCUCUGAAAUUGAAUGCUUUGAAAAACAAAGAAUGUCAAAUGCACACAAAGGCAAAACAAAGAUUGAAAUGGUUAGGUCCCACGUGACCAACCGUUAUGGCAAGGUUUGGAGAAGCCAAAGGUUCUCCGGGGUCCGAAGUGCAAGCGAUAUUCAGGAAAUAACCAGUUGCAAGUGAACAUUAUCAUCAAAGAAGUCUGCGACAAUCAAGUGACUGAAACACCUAAGGUCGCAAAUGCAACCAUCAUUUCAAACUGACAAAUUGUUCUUUGUUUGAACCACAGGAAAUAGGUGUAAUCCAAAGCAACCUUGCAAGACGCAGGUACAACCAAAAAGAAAAUUAUGCGGAGACUAAAAUAGCUCUGCAGCAACAACCACUCCAAAAAAAGGAAGUCUUCUCCAAAUUCUUUCCUGCAUUUUACUCAUUCUCUUUAAAAAAUGAUGAAAAAUAAAGAAAAUUUAAAAUCAUGUUAGUAUAGGGUCUCCAAUCCCUAGCUGCAUUUUUAAACAUAGGGUCUCCACUCCCUAGUUGAUUUUAUUUUAGACAUAGGGUCUCAACUCCCUAGUCGUUUUUCCAACAUAGGGUCUCCACUCCCUAGUUGAUUUGAUUUUUAGACAUAGGGUCUCCACUCCCUAGUUGAUUUGAUUUUUAGACAUAGGGUCUCCACUCCCUAGUCUCUUUUCCNNNNNNNNNNNNNNNNNNNNNNNNNNNNNNNNNNNNNNNNNNNNNNNNNNNNNNNNNNNNNNNNNNNNNNNNNNNNNNNNNNNNNNNNNNNNNNNNNNNNNNNNNNNNNNNNNNNNNNNNNNNNNNNNNNNNNNNNNNNNNNNNNNNNNNNNNNNNNNNNNNNNNNNNNNNNNNNNNNNNNNNNNNNNNNNNNNNNNNNNNNNNNNNNNNNNNNNNNNNNNNNNNNNNNNNNNNNNNNNNNNNNNNNNNNNNNNNNNNNNNNNNNNNNNNNNNNNNNNNNNNNNNNNNNNNNNNNNNNNNNNNNNNNNNNNNNNNNNNNNNNNNNNNNNNNNNNNNNNNNNNNNNNNNNNNNNNNNNNNNNNNNNNNNNNNNNNNNNNNNNNNNNNNNNNNNNNNNNNNNNNNNNNNNNNNNNNNNNNNNNNNNNNNNNNNNNNNNNNNNNNNNNNNNNNNNNNNNNNNNNNNNNNNNNNNNNNNNNNNNNNNNNNNNNNNNNNNNNNNNNNNNNNNNNNNNNNNNNNNNNNNNNNNNNNNNNNNNNNNNNNNNNNNNNNNNNNNNNNNNNNNNNNNNNNNNNNNNNNNNNNNNNNNNNNNNNNNNNNNNNNNNNNNNNNNNNNNNNNNNNNNNNNNNNNNNNNNNNNNNNNNNNNNNNNNNNNNNNNNNNNNNNNNNNNNNNNNNNNNNNNNNNNNNNNNNNNNNNNNNNNNNNNNNNNNNNNNNNNNNNNNNNNNNNNNNNNNNNNNNNNNNNNNNNNNNNNNNNNNNNNNNNNNNNNNNNNNNNNNNNNNNNNNNNNNNNNNNNNNNNNNNNNNNNNNNNNNNNNNNNNNNNNNNNNNNNNNNNNNNNNGUCUUCACUCCCUAGUUAUUUUUUUUAACAUAGGGUCUUCACUCCCUAGUUGGCUUUAUUUUUAAUUUUUAGAUAUAGGGUUUCCACUCCCUAGACUCUGAUUUUCUCAGGGUGCACUAAUCCGGACCUUUUAUUGCUUUCAAUAAUGAAGUAGUAUAUCGUUUUGAUACAAAUAACUCACAAAAUUUUCCUUGGGAAAACUGGGACAGAAAAUUUCGUUCGUUUGUUUAUUUUGUUGUCCGAGUAGGUAUUACCUCGAGGCACGAGUUUGAGAUGACCAAAAGAAGAAGUCUCAAUCCAAGAUAAAGAAAAGAAAAGAAAAGUGAAUCCAAAAUGCAGAAGCGGAUGAACGGAUAUAGACUGCUCAGGACAUGACCGAAGUCAUGACCAUUGCAUUUCCCGUUUUGAUCUGAAAAGCCGAAAAAGAAUGAACUAGCACCUACAGCUAGCAAGUAUCAAGGUUCAGAUCAGAGUCUGCAUGAAGAACCAUUCAAGACUCAAGAUCAAGCUUCAAAAGACUCAUAGAUAGGAAUCUUGUAACUCGUAGCUAAUAGGCUUAGUUAGUCUUUUUUAUUUUGACUUUGGUGUAAUAAGAAGCUCAGCAAGAAGCAACAACAGUAACAACAGUGAAAUCAUAGUUUUUCGGUAGUCCCAGCUACCAAAAUUUCCAGAACUAUACUGACCUGAUUCCUUUAUAGCCAAGGAUAUGUAGGCAACCUCCGAAGCAAGGUUCGUUUAAACGUUUUCAAAAUGCUUCCCAUGGAGUAUCAGGUGGGCAAAAAUUGCUUAUAAUUGCUCACUUUAUCUUUGCCUGAAAACUCUUCAUGUUCUCGAGCAAAUAGGGGUAGCUGCGAGCACGCGAUUUUUGCUCGAUCAAAAUACUCCUACAAAAUCCACAAAAUAAAUCUUUCUAAUUGUUUUUGAUUUCAUAGAAUUUUAGGAAUUCCUUUCUAAUUGUUUGUUUGCAUUUAGUUUUAUUUUUGUGCAUAUUUAAUAUUUUAAAAUCAUGAAAAAUAAUAAUAAAAAAUGUUUAAUUCUUCAUGGCAUGGCAUCAUAUGUUUAAUUGUAUUUUUAGAACAUAAUUACCUUAUUAAAUAAAAAUUACAAAAAUACCAUAGUCAUGUUUACAUUUUAGCUUUCAGUUUUAAAUUAAUUAGGGUUAAGUUAAUUAAUUAUUUAAAUGUUAGAAAUAGAUAAUUAGGUUUGGAAAAUUAGACUUGAUUUAGGAAUUAAUUAGGUUGUUAAUUAAUUUGAUUAGGAGUUGAAAUCAAAGAAAGAAAAAGGAAGGAAAGAAAGGAAUAUUUUGUUUAGUCUUGUGCGGAAUUGAGCCAAAAGCACAAUUUCAGCGGCCCAAGUGCCCAAAGACCCACACUGCAAGGUCCAAUUACCACCAAACCCAACCCCGUCUAGCCCCAUUAAACCCAAACGGCCCCGUUUUGAUCUCUUCAAAUCCCCACCGUUCAUGCACCAGAUCCAACGGUCCAGAACUCAACACCCUUUUAGAUUUAAUUGUCUGAAGCCCUUCCUAACCCUAGAGACCCCAAAACUCAUCUCCCUCAUCUCUCUCUCAUGCCCCACCUUCCGUCGCUGCCAGAAAUCGCCCUAAGACGGCGGUACCACUCCAAACUCCCUCAAACUCAUAACCCAUACUCCUCUCCUCAUCCUCAAUCCAAAUCUACCAUCAAUUUUCCCAAAAGACCCACCAAAUCCUUUGAAUUUUAGAUCUAAAAAGUCACAAAAACCUAAAUCCACCCCAUUUUGAGUUUUCCCAAAUUUCGGCCUACCUGAGGUUUAUACCAACGCUGAUUGAACACUCUUGUUGAGAGUUAUCAAUUGGAGUCAGUUUUGGACCUAUUCUAGGCCACCACCAUGGAACCCCCAUAAUGUUGAUUUCUUUUGCCGGUAUAUGGCGAACAUCGUCACAUAUAGCAUUGGCUACGCACGAGUGUGGGCUAAUGCUCAUGUAACGAUGUUGGCUGUUAGCCGGAUGUCUUUUUCGGGCAACCUUGUCAUCAAUGGGUAAUCCUUCUUUUCAUUUCUUUGAUUACUGCCUAUUUUAGGUUAAUGGAUUGACAUUUUUGUGUUACAUGUUAUAGAUUAGGUUUAUUUCAAAUUAACAGCAUGCUUUUAGUUUGGCUUCAACUUUUGUUAAAUUAAUCAAUUGAUAGUUAUUUUAAGGUUGCAUCAAUAUGUUGAUUGUUAGUAUGUCUUCUCGUAUGUUUAGCAUGUUCUAGAUUAGUUAGGAUUUCAACUUCAUCAAUUAGGUUUAAUUAGUCCUCUGUGAUUAAUCCAAUAUUUUAAAAGCAUAGCAGUCAGUUUUAAUUAGGUUAAAAUGACUUUAAUUAGUUAAUUACACGUUUGAAUUAGUUUAAUCACAUAAAAUAAGUUAAAGUUUGAAUAUUUCUUGUUGUGCUGCGAUUUUUAAUCCAUCUAAUUUUUUAUGAUAGCUGUUUGUAAUUACUAAAAUACCAGGAGAGAAAAAGAAAUGAGAAAAUCAGGGAAUAUUAGUUUGGAAUUGCCUAGAAGGUUCUAGAAAUGGGGGCUAAAAUACAAUAAAUUGAAGGAAAUGGGUCAGAUUUGGUUUAAAAGAGGUAAUUUUCAAAAGUUAAAAAGAGUGAAAAUGAAAAAAAAAAACUUUUAGAAAGGGACAGUUGUCCAAAUCUGUUAGAAAAGAUGCUGAAAUUGGAUACAAUUGUCCAUUUUCUGGUACAAAAGAUGCCAAUUUCCUGAAAUUUAGGGAAGGUUGGCAGAUUCAUUUUGGUGUAAUCCCAUUCCCUCAUAAGGCAUAGGUAUUUUUCUAUAAAGGAACCUUUCUCCUCACACUCUAGGAGGUUUUUUUCAAGGACUGCACAUUCAUUCACUCAAAAAAGACACGAACUUUACACAUAAAUUCUCUAAAAUUCAGAAUUCCUCAUUUCAUUACUUCACUGAUUUUUACAUUGAUUUCUGAAAAAUCCAUUGUCUUUCACUUUCAUUUUUAGUAAAGAAAGUUUUUGGAAAACCAACUUUGGGAUUUCAGAAACAAAAAAAAAAAACAAAGGUUUUCAUCAACUUGCUUCACUAUCGGAUAGUUGUGUUUUUCAAGUUCUGAGUUUGAAGUUUGGUUGAGCUUCAUUUUCUGUGUUGGAUACUAUUUCAUUAAGUUGUAGUUGAUUCUGUUUUUAGCUAUGUUUCUCAAAUUCAGAGGCUUAUUUUCUUGUUGUUCUUUAUUGCUUGUGAGGUAUUACUCUUGAUCAAAUAAUGUAAACUUCAGUAUGUUUGAAUUAUGAAAUUGUUGUUUGUAGUAUGGUGAUUGUGUUUGGUGUUUAUCAAUCUGUGUGUGUUGUUUAAUUAUUGUUGGAAUGUGGCUAUGAUCUAUUAGCUGAAUUACUACAAUGUAUCGUGUUAAACAAUGACUAAGAUUCGUUAAUUUGAAGUUAUCUGCAGACCUGUAUGAAAUUACUCAUCUAUACAAUUUAUUCUUUAGCCAUAAAGUUUAUAGUUUGUUACCAUUUAGAAUUAGAAACUGUGAUAACCUACACUUGAUAAGGUGUUUGUUUAAGUUGUAAAAUUUUACUAGUGGUGAUUUUGGAUUUGCAUGCUAGCUUGAAAGUCUCGGUGAUGGAUGCACACAUAGCUCUAAUUCAGGUUUCAAUUGCCAAUGGGUUUGGCUAAACCAGUAGAUAUUAAAGCAUAAGAAGGAAACACCAAAAGUGUUUAGAUACUCCAGUGCAAGUGGUGUGUUGAUUUCAUCUUAAAGCUCUUAUCUAGUUCAAUUGUCAUGGUUGCUCUGUUUUCCGGAUCUAUGUAGUCAUUCAUGAAUUGUAAUUAGAGUAAUUGAAACUGUGAUUCAAGACAUGUAAUUAUUUAAUGCUGCAAAUGGGUAUUGUUUCUUUUUAGGCUUGUAUAAUUGUGUAUUGAAUAUGAUUUAAGGUUAGUUACCUUUUAUUGGGCAUGGCGUGGGCCAAUUGUGUAAAAGAAUGUUUGGCCAAGGGAAGAAAUCAUGUUUCCAGUUGGUUAUUGGAAUUUUAUUAUUCACUUGGGCUCCAUUUUGAGCCCAGUGUCAUGUGCUGAUGCUUUUAAAAAGGAAUUAGCACAUUUGGGCCUCACCUAAAAAUCCACAUGCAAUUUGCUUAGCCCAUCAGAGGUCCUUCGCCAAUGUCUAAUGAAAUUGAACCCAUAUUUGUUUAAUUUUCCAUAGAUCACGACUUUACCAAUAAUCUCAAGUUAGAAUAGGUAAUAAAUCACAAAUAUUCGUAGAAAUGCUUUAGGCGCGUUCUUUAUAUUACUAUCGUGAUUGUGUACACGUUCGCGUGACUUUGGCCAAACAAUCUUAAAAACAAUAAAGUGUUAUUAGUUGUGUACACGUACGCGUGACAUGACUUUGACAUACCAAAACAAGACGAAUACAAGUACGUGUGAUUCGAAUAAUCGAGUAAUUAAAAGUGGUAAAAGGUAAAAAAAAAUACACAUAGGUUCUAAAAGUAAGUAAUUAAACAAAUUAAUUAAGCCAGGUAUGAUUAAAGCGACCGUACUAAAACCACGGAAUUCGUAUAUGCCUAACACCUUCUCCCGGGUUAACAGAAUUCCUUACCCGGUCUUUUAUGUUGGCAGACUUUAAAACAGAGUCAAAUUUUCUUGAUUUGGGAUUUAAAAUAAAUCGGUGACUUGGGAUACCAUAAUAAUUAUUCCAAGUGGCGACUCUUAAAAUCAAAUAAAUAAUCUCAUUUCGAACAAUGUCGCUUUAAUUAGAAAAACUCCCUAUCCCUAUCGGAAAAAAGGAGGUGUGACAAUCAUGGCGCGAAUCUCUCUCGAUGUCGAUUAUGGAUCAACAAUUACGGGAAAAAGAAGAUUUUUACCUUUUUAGACUUUUACUAGGACUGAAACUCUCCUACUAUAUAAAGGGAAAGUUUUUCUUUAGUCAGACAUAUUGUAACACGCAAUUCAAAGAAAUUAAAUUUUAUUUUUUCCUUCUAGCUACUGUUAAAGACUUUGCUCACUUGUUCUGUUGUUCAUUCAUGACUGGGGUCAAACCGAGAGUCCAAUCGAGGACGAGAUCACUGUUUAAUCUAAGUUCAGGCUUGGUCAUAACAUUGCGAUUGGUUUAUUCGUUUAUUUUGUCUCUAAUUUAUCUAAUAUUCUUAAUUAUUCGUGUUGAAUUAAACCAUGUAUCCUUUAAACUGCAUACAAAUUUAAUUGUUACCCAAUUUUUGGGUAAACAGUUUGACUCCCACGGUGGGACUAAGAAUAAUAGUGGUGAUUUGAUACGAAUCUACAUAACGUACCCUGUUUUAUGCUUGUUCUUUGAAAUCUUAAUCUCAAGUAAGUUUUAAAAUGUCAAACUCGUAGUCUUCUCACUUGAACGUUGACGAUGAGUCUACUUGAACGUUGACGAUGAGUCUAGCCAUCACAACGAAAAAUAAUAAUUUGGUGCCCAACAACGAUGUUCUUCCUGCCGAUCCCAAUGGUGUCCCAGCUGCCGACCCGGUCGAUGCUAACUUGCAGGUGGCCAUCAACAUCAAUUUUCCAACUGAUCCCAAAUAUAGCGUUCAUUGGGGACCCUGACCACCAGCUCAAGAAGCGCCUGAAGGCGAAGGUGAUGGGGUGAGCCUAUGGCUGAUUUUCGAAAUGUUGUAGGCUCAACAAGCGGCAAUAGCACAGUUGCAGAAUCAAAGUCACGCCCCCAACAGGGUCGAGCCCGAACAAUACCAGGAAAGCACUCAAAGAGAUGAGCAAAUUACUGAGAGACCGGGUGAAGUCGAGCCCGGGGUAAAUCCCGAGGUAAUGAAAAUGCUAGAAGUGUUGACAAAACGGGUGGAGUCAGGUGAGAAAAAGAUUAAGGCUAAUGACAAGGCGGUGAAAACAUACAACUCCAGGGGUUUCGUAUGCCCGACAACUCCAGGAUAAUGACCAGACUCCAAAAAAUCUAUCCAGAAGCCCUUUCCUCCGAUAGCGGCACCAAAGCCAAUCUCGAAGAGGUUUCGUAUGCCCGAGAGCAUGUGACCUCCUAUACAUGUGUAAUCAAGGGAAACGAUUUAGAAGAUGAUGAGAUCGAGUCAAUAUUACAGAAAAAGUUUGGGGAGACUUUGUCCAAGGGAGCAAGGAUAUGGUAUCACAACUUGCCCCCAAAUUUUAUUGACUCGUUUGCUUUGCUUGCAGAUGCUUUCAUAAAGGCCCAUGUCGGGGCCAUCAAGGUCGAUACCAGGAAGUUAGAUCUUUUCAAGGUGAAAUAAAGGGAUAAUGAGAUGCUCGUGGAGUUCGUGUUAAGAUUUCAGAUGGAACGGAUGGACCUAUCAACUGUUGUAGAUGAUUGGUCCGUUUAGGCAUUCACUCAGGGGCUCAACCACCGAAGUUCCUUGGCCUCUCAACAACUAAAAUAAAAUUUGGUGGAGUACCCGGCAAUAAUCUAGGCCGACGUCCACAAUAGGUACCAGUCAAAGAUCAGGGUCGAGGACGACCAACUCAGGGUCUCUUCUGAAUCUGUUUACCCCAUCAGGGCCGAUGAUUGAUCUAAGAGAGCCAUUGAUCAAGAUCCAAGACCGUUACGAGACCGGUAUUAACCUUACAGUACGUACCGAAUGGGAAAUGGGUUCGGGUGUCUCCCCGUAAAGAACAACAGGCCGAGGUCUGAUGAGCAAGAAUGGAUUCGACAGGCCGCUCAGGAGUAGGGAAUCACCAAUAUUAUCGUAGUACAACUUCAACAUGGACAUUGCCAGCAUCAUAUAAUCUAUAGGGUGCAUCAAAUAGACCAUGUGGCCCCGACCAUUUCAGUUUGACCCUACCAAGAGAGAUCCUAAUUUGAUGUGUAAGUAUCACGGUACUCAGAGUCAUAGGACCGAAGAUUUUCGAUAGUUAAGAGAAGAAGUUUCUCAGUUAUUCAACAACGGGCACCAUUAAGAAUUCCUGAGUAAGCGAUCCAAAAACCACUUCAUAAACAGGGACGCCAACAAACAGGUCGAACAAGAGGAGCCGUACCAUGUGAUCAAUAUGAUCAUUAGGGGAAUCGAAGUCCCCCAAGGGACAAUGAUAAAAUGCACUAAACUAUUUAUUAUUAUUCCCGGGAUUAUAUUCCGGAUGGAGCCAUUUCAUUCAGCGACGAAGAUGCUAAGGGCAUCGUGCAACCUCACAACAAUGCACUAGUAAUACUCGUACUUAUCAAUAAAUCUCGAGUUAAACGUGUGUUGAUUGAUCCAGGUAUAUCGGCCAACAUCAUCAGAUCAAGGGUCGUAGAGCAAUUGGGGUUAUAGGACCAAAUCGUACCAGUGAUCCGGGUAUUGAACGGAUUUAACAUGGCAUGUGAGACCACGAAAGGAGAGAUAACAUUGCUAGUAAACACCGCCGGGACAACCCAAAAAAUGAAGUUCUACGUAAUCGAAGGGGACAUAAGGUACAACGCUCUAUUCGGAAGGCCAUGGGUCCACAACAUGAGGACGAUACCCUCGACCUUACACUAGGCGUUAAAAUUUCCCACACCGAGGAGAGUCAAAAUGGUCUACGGAGAAGAGUCAGCCAUAAGGGAGAUGUUUGUUGUCAACGAGAUAAUUCCGAUGCCCGCGGUUUCAACAUCAGGGAACACAGAACCGACCAAAAGGGAAGAGAUUAAAUAGCAAUCACUGAUACCUGCCUCAGUCGAACUGGAGAAACAGAAAGAACGAGGAGCAGACGAUGAAGAUGAUUACAACAUCCCGAGAUCAUUCAUAGCUCUUGAUGACACCGAUGCCACCAAAUCAAUGGUUGAAGAGUUGGAGCAAGUCAUAUUAAUCGAACAUAUACCGGAUCAAAAGGUAUACUUGGGCACGGGGUUAAGCCAUGAGCUUAGGAAAAAACUUAUUAAUUUUCUUAAAGCUAACGUCGAUUGGUUCGCUUGGUCCCAUCAUGAUAUGACAGGCAUCCCAUCGGAGGUAACCACUCACAAGAUGAGUUUGGACCCAAAGUUCCAUCUGGUUAAGCAGAAGAGGAGACCACAGUCUGAGAUCAAACAUGCGUUCAUCAAGGACGAGGUAUCCAAACUUCUAAAAAUAGGAUCCAUCCAGGAAGUUAAAUACUCGAAUUCGUUAGCUAACGUAGUGGUAGUACCUAAAAAGGAAAUAAACUAAGGAUGUGUAUGGAUUAUAAAGACCUAAACAAGGCAUGUCCAAAGAAUUCUUUCCCUUUGCCUAACAUCGAUCGAAUGAUCGACGCAACGGUCGGGCACGAGAUACUCAGUUUUCUCGACACCUACUCCGGGUACAACCAAAUUCAGAUGGACCCGGAUGAUCAAGAAAAGACUUCUUUCAUAACCAAAUUCGGCAUAUACUGCUUUAACAUGAUGAUGUUUGGAUUAAAAAACACCGGUGCAACCUACCAACGCCUUGUAAACCGGAUGUUCGAAGAAUAAAUAGGGAAAUCAAUGGAAGUUUAUAUUGACGAUAUGUUGGUCAAGUCCCUAUGAGCAAAGAACCAUUUGAAACAUUUAUAGGAAACCCUCUACAUAUUAAGGAAAUACAACAUGAAGCUAAACCCGGAGAAGUGUGCAUUCAGGGCCGGUUCGGGUAAAUUCCUUGGGUUUAUGGUAUCCAAUCGGGGAAUAGAGAUCAACCCCAACAAAAUAAAGGCCAUAAAGGACAUCACCGUAGUAGAAAACAGCAAGGCGGUUCAUAGACUAACCAGACGUAUAGCCUCAUCGAGCUGGUUCAUCUCGAGGUCCUCAGACAAGAGCCAUCGAUUCUUCUCACUAUUUAAAAAGAAGAAGAAUUUUUCCUGGACUCCGAAAUGCCAGCAAGCUUUGAAAGAAUUCAAACGGUACUUGUCGAUCCCUCAUCUACUGCACACUCCAAAGGCAGACGAACAAUUGUACCUCGAUUUGGCGAUUUUUGAGUUGGUGGUAAGUGGUGUCUUAGUCCGGGAGAAAGAAGGUACAAAAUUUCCUAUUUACUAUGUUAGCAGAACCCUAGGUGAUGCCAAAUCGAGGUAUCCUUACCUAGAAAAUUUAGUGCUCGCUUUGCUAAGUGCUACCAGGAAGCUAAAACCGUACUUUUAAUGCCACCCCAUAUAUGUCAUAACCUCUUACCCACUAAGGAAUAUCAUGCAUAAGCCUGAGAUCUUGGGCCGGUUGGCCAAAUGGGCCGUGAAAAUUAGAGGGUACGAUAUCGAGUACCGACCUCGAACUGCCAUAAAAUCUCAAAUUUUGCCAGACUUCAUGGAUGACUUUACGCCGACCUUAAUACCCGAAGACGAAAAAGAAUUACUGCUCACCUCGGGGAAUAAUUUAGGAAUCUGGACCCUAUUCACGGAUGGUGCCUCCAACGCGGAGGGCUCCGGACUUUGUAUCGUGUUAAAUCCACUAGUAGGAAGCAUAAUUAGACAGUCUAUUAGAACUAUGAAAUUGACUAACAAUGAAGCCGAGUAUGAAGCCAUGAUUGUAGGUCUAGAACUGGCUAAGAGCCUUGGGGAUGAAGUGAUCGAAGCAAAAUGCGACUCCCUCCUCGUCGUAAAUAAAGUCAACGGAACAUUCGAAGUAAAAGAAGAACGGAUACGAAGGUACCUGGACAAAUUGCAGGUGACCCUACACUAAUUCAAGGAAUGGACUCUGCAGUAUCUGCCCCGAGAUCAAAACAGUGAGGCUGACGCACUGGCUAACUUGUGGUCAUUUGUCGACUCCGAUGAAUUCAGCUUGGGGCAGUGGUAUAACUAAUGAACUAGGUGAUAGAAGAAGGUCACGCCGAAGUAAACUCAACGAGUUUGACUAGGGAUUGGAGAAACAAAUACAUAGACAACUUGAAGACAAGAAAAUUGCCUUCGGAUCCCAAGGAAUCAAGAGCCCUUUGCACCAAAGCUGCCAGAUUUAGCUUAGUCGGAGGGGCAUUGUUUAGGAUAUUUUCUUCACCACACUUUCCAGAUGCUUAGGGUCGGUGGAGACUGAAUAUGCCAUCAGAUAAGUUCACAAGGGCACUUACGGGAACCAUUCGGGAGCAGAAUCCUUAGUUUGGAAGCUAAUCAGAGCUGGCUACUACUGAAAUGAAGUGGAGAAGGAUGCAAAAGACUUCGUGCGAAAAUGCAACGAGUGCCAAAGAGACGCCCUAACGAUUCAUCAACCAGGAGAGAUGCUCCAUUCGGUCCUGUCACCAUGGCCGUUUAUGAAGUGGGGAAUGGACAUCGUCGGACCCUUGUCAUGGGCACCCGGUAAAGUUCAAUUCAUACUAUUCAUGAUCGAUUAUUUUUCCAAAUGGGUCGAGGCUCAGGCGUUCGAGAAGGUCCGAGAAAAAGAAGUCAUCUACUUCAUAUGGGAUUACAUAAUUUGUCGAUUUGGGAUAUCGACCGAGAUCGUUUGCGACAAUGGAAAGAAAUUCGUCUGCAACAAGGUAAGUAAGUUUUUCAAAGACCACAAGAUCAAGAAGAUAUUAUCAACACCUUACCACCCUAGUGGGAAUGGGCAAGUAGAAUCGACGAAUAAAACCAUACUCUAAAACCUGUAAAAGAGGCUGACCGAUUCGAAAGGAAAAUGGAAAACAUCUUACCCGAAGUCCUAUGGGCAUACCGUACGACUUCGAAGUCGAGUACCGGAGCGACCCUUUUCUCUCUGGUCUACAGAGAAGAAGCCUUAAUACCAGUCGAGGUAGGGGAACUGAGCCUCGUGUUCUAGUAUGCUACCGAAAAGUCAAACGGCGAGGCCAUGGACACGAGCCUGGAAUUAAUGGACGAAAGGAAGGAAGUCGCCCUGGUUCGGUUGGCCGCAGAGAAGCAACGAAUAGGGAGGUACUACAACCAGAGAACUAACCUCUGGCAUUUUCAAGUCGGGGACUUGGUACUGAUAAAGGUAACACUACACACCAAGAACCCAAACAAAUGGAAACUAGGCCCGAAUUGGGAAAGACCGUAUCGAGUUGUCGGAAUAACCGGCAAAGGCUCAUAUAAACUCAAAUCGGGAAAUGAUGUAUAACUACCAAACAAAUGAAAUGUGGCACACUUAAAGCGAUACUACUGUUAGGUACGAACUUAAUUCCUUUUUAAUUUUAUUACAUUACGGACUAACGUAUGCAGGUACUCGGCCAGGGGCGAACGCGACUAGGUCAGAAAGCACGUGUUAUACUCUUUUUCCCUUGAACCGAUUUUGUUCCGAAGUUGGUUUUUCAGCAAGGUUUUAAAUGAGGCAACAGUAAAAUGUGCUACCUUAGUUUUGAAGGCUGGCCUUAGACCGGAAUUGAUGAUAGAUUACACCUAAUCAAUAGUAUCCGAUCCCUCGCAAGUUCGGCCUCGAAUACUGGGGGUCAUUACCCCUAAAUUAAGAUCUUUAGCAAGGGAAAAGAAAAUUUUAUAUGUCAAAAGCCAAGACUUGGUGGUUAGGAUUCAUUGUAAGGGUCAAACGGUCAUGUGAACCAUGCCCAUAUAAUCCACUAUAACCACAGCACAAGGCUUAUGCGCCUCCGAUCAUGUACGUUACAUAUUAAACAAUGAAAAAAAUCUCUGCUUCCAUUAUACUUUAUUACUGCACAGUUCACUUCUCCGAUACUGAAUCCUAAAGCCCAUGGGCUACCCCUACUCGGGGACUAUCGAUCGAUAAAAAUUCAGACAACCCGAGCUACAGAAUCCCCGAGGCACCAAGCUUUUUAGGCAUGCUACGGCCGCCCUAAAAUUGGCUCGGAGUCGUCCGAAGUCCGUACUCAGAAAAGCAUUUAAAGCAUUUAAAACGUUACCCUCAGCAAAAGCAUCGUCUAAGACACUUAAGCAUCUUAAAAGCUUUUGAUCCUAUCAAAAUAUCGAAGCCACGAGUAACCCGGAGUUUCCACUAAAAUCGGGACACAUUCGAACCUCCGAAUGAACGGAUACUCUAGAUUACAUUUGACUUUAUGCUAAAGCAUUUAAAACGAUGCGCAAAUAAAAAAAUUACAAAUAGAUGCAGGAAAGUAAAGGUACGGCAUUGUCAAAAAGGGUUUUUUUUUUUAUAUAUUUCAAAAAAUAAUUACAAAGGCACGAUAAAACGGUCUCAAAAUAAAAACAAAAUAUACAAGGGAAAACUAAAAAAGAACAAAGGCAUUUACGCAUGGUCUUCAUCGGGGCUCGACUCGUCACCAGAAUCGUCGAAACCCUCGGAACCUUCGGAGCCUUUGGGACCCCAGGCUCAUAGAGUUCUUUUGCCUCGGCCUCAAGUCUCUUGGCUUCCUCAAUCUCGGCUGACAAGUCAACACCUCGGGCAUGGAUCUCCUCGAGGGUUUUUCUCCGGGAUAGCUGCUUUACAUGCUCAGUCCUCAUCUUUAAGAGGGCCUCAGCUAUCUCUAAUCAGCCUUAUACUAGGCCAGCAUUUCCUCGGGCAUCGUAGGAAUAAAUAGAAGUUGCCUCCAACUUGGACCUCCACGCGUUAUAUUCUUGGCCGAGGGCAUCUCAUUCCGUGAUGGUUGAGUUCAGCUGUGCCCGGAGUUCAUCCUUUAGCCGAGACCACUUAUCGGCCUUGUCCUUUGCCACUCGAAGUUGGUACUUGACCGAUGUCAGCUCCGAUUUUGUAACCUCUUUUUUCGAAGCCAACAUGUCCAUCCUGCCCUUCCAUACCUCGGUCGUGGCCUUGACCUCAUCCAUCUCAGCCCGAAGCUGGUAGAUCAGGUUUAUCUUCUCUUGGACCUGCAAAGUUGUGUUGUUAGUCACCACGAGUAGAUUCUCAUUUUUAGCCUCAAAGAUCCUUACCUUCUCAACCAGAUCGGCGUGCUGCCACUUCAAGUUCGAGGCCUCCUUCUGGGCUUUUUCCAGCUCGGCUCGGAGAAUCGGGAGGUCUUUGAGGGCCUCAUCUUGUUGUUCAUUAAGAGCCAUGUACAUGUCCUUCUUCUAGACUUGCUCUUUAGGCUCAAACUCGAGCUGGCUGAUCUCCAAGCAGGACCAAAGGAAGCUUUCAUGAUGAAAUAGUGAAGCCUGAAAAAACAAUGAAGUCAUUAGAACAUUUCUAAAACUAAGCGCAAUUCGCAAGGGGUACGAAGGAUAAACGUCUCACCAGGCUCAACGCUCGUUGCACCUCGUUGAAGAGGAUCAACAUUCCUACUUUGUUCAUCUUUGCAUGGUCCUUCUCGAUCACCAGGCAACGAAGGUAGCUGGCCAUGCCCACCGGAGCAGACAACUCCCGGGCGUCUGCUGGGAUAGUGAGAACGACCAUUCUCUUACGGUCGGGGUCCACACUCGGGGCAGGGAACUGCUUCACUAGUUUAGGGCUCGGGCUCGACUCGCCCGCUCCCGAUGGCACAUCCUUUUUUGGGACCUCCGGGUGACCAAGCCCGAAAAAGUCCUCCAAUGCGUCCAUGUCCAUGCCAUCGAAGAUCGUGUUGAGGGCAUCAUCUGGGCGCGGUGCCGUCUCGUUUGAUUUCUCUUUGCCCGCUUGAGCCUCUCCGAGAAUGGACUCAGUGUAGGAUGAUGUAUCCAUGAUGUCAAUGACACCAGCUACCUCCUUCGGUACAUGAGCGGCUUUUUGGGAGGCCGCGACCUCCGUCUCUCCCUCUAGUUCCCGAGCUAGGGGGAUCGGCCUUGUGGUCAGCUUUCUUGGAAGCGGAGGGUUCGGCGAGUGAGGACGGAUCCUCAUCGAAUGGCCUGAGCUCGGUGGUCUUGGGCAAACCUGUGAGAAUGAAGAAGACUUAGCAAUAUAUAAGUCGAGUGCGUGAAUGUAAUCAUUCGGGGGGAAGCCUCACCAUGAGAACGGACCUCUCACUUACCCUUCAAGAGUUUGUGUCAUGCGCUCGAAGUAGGACAUAUAUUUGCAGAUCCCCUUGAUCCACUCCUUGAAGCGGGGGACUACAUUAGGAAUCUAGGCAACCGCUGCAUGACGACAAACACAGGCAAUUAGGAAAAGAAUAAAAGGAAAUGCCAAAUACUCGAAAAGGAAAAGGCUUACGAGAUGCGUUCCACUUUUCCGGGAAUGGCAGAAAUUCAGAGGGGAUGAGAUCUUCGAUUUUCAUCCGAACGAACCUCCCCUGCCAACCUCGGUCUCGAUCAUCAUCGAUGCUCGAGAACAGAGCCUUGUUCGGUGAACGAGCUUGAUCAACUCGCCUCGGAAUAUUCAGGGACUGUAUAGACGAAGCAGAUGGUCAAGGGUGAAUCGAGAUGCUUCGGUGUUGUUUACAAAGUGUCGGAGGAGGAUUACGAUCCUCCAAAAUGACGGGUGAAUUUGUCCAAGGCAGACCGGUACCUUUUGCAGAAUUCGAGGACUAUGGGGUCCACCAAGGCGAGUGUGAAGGGGUAAGUGUAAAUACUUAGGUACCCCUCCACGUGAGUAGUGAUGUAUUCGUUGGGCCCGCGGACGACCACCUCAUUGCCCUCCCAGUACAGUCUACCUGAAAUAUGGGUAGCGUCUCCGCAGUACCGGAGUAUAUGUACCUCUGUGCUCCCUCGCCUCGGUCUUAUUGAUUGGAAGCCUUCUCGACGUUGAAAUCCUUCUCGAUAGAGCAUCCCUCGAGGACAAAGAUCUUCAAGGGAGGCUCUUGGGCCACCUCAGGAAUGGCUACCUCGGCGUCUGUGGCCGGGUUAGAAGAUGAAUGGGGAAUUUACUGAGGCACGUAUUUGGAAGUUUGUGCCAUCGGGUUCUGGAAAAUAUAAAGGUUUGAAGAAAAAAUAUGAAGAUUUGAAUAUAGAAUGAAGAUAUGAAGGUGUAGGUUGAAGAUUCAACAAGAAUGUAUGAAGAUUGAGGAUGAAGGUAUAAAGAUCUAAUGAGAAAUAUAUGAAGCUUUGAAGGAGUUAAAGGUAAGUAAAGAUUUCGAGGGUAAAUCAAAGAGCUCUAAAAUCGGAAAGUGGAGAAGUGGAAAAGGGGUCGGAGCUUUUAUAGAGGAAGGACAAUCAAUGUGUGAUGUUUCACAUUCGAGGAAAGUCAACCGGCGGCUGGCACGUGUCCGAAGUCAGAACGACGCGACUGAUGGGACAUUUCGUUGACCCGUCAUCUCGGUUGUAAUGUACGAAGGAAGGAACCGAGGUCCAUUUAUCGCUUUCCGUCAUUUCGAUAAACCUACUCUUCGAAAAACGAGGGGACUAUCUAUGUACGGGUAAAAACUUGGAGAAUCCAUAUGCAUAUUUCAAGUUGUUAGAGUGUUUUUGCAUAUGGAAGGUGGUCCACUUGUAUCUAAACCAAAAAGAUAAGCAACGGAAUAUUGAAAAGUUCGUUCUUAUUCUACCUCCCUCUCAUCUCUACUUGGAAUGUCUUGUCUAUUCUUUUUGGACUCCUCAAUGCUUACAAUAACUCUUGCUACUUGUAGUAGCUAGGUUUCUUUUCUUUUCUUUUUUUUCUUUUUGUUUUUUCAAGAUUCCAUAUAUUCUGAACUCACUUAUUCGAUGAUAAAUCUAGAUAAUCUUCGAACAUUUUGAAUUCUAAUUGGAGGCUACUUUCAUAAUGGAACGGUUACAUAUGCAAUUUGGCCAACAAUUGAAGACUAUAUUGUAUUUGGUGGCUAUACUUGUAAUACUUAGCUUCCUAAAUAAAUAUCCCUUAAUACUAGUAUUCCUUAUUUUUCUAGUUAGUUCUUUGCUAUUUUCUAUCUUUUUAUCAUUUUAUUUGUGCUCUAUUUAGUUUUUGCUUCCGCGCUCAUAUCAUCCGACCAGUUCAUAUUUAUGCCGUAAAAGUUCACUCAAGACUCAAGAGGUUUUAGAACUCCCUAUAGAAGAGCUCAACUUGAGACCUCUAGCUAUGUGUAAAAGAAUUUAAUCACUUUAUUAAGGAUUUAAAAAAAGCAGCUCAGUGCAUAAUGCUCCCGCUAUGUGCAGGGUCGGAGGAAGGACCGAACCAUAAGGAUCUAUUAUACGCAGCCCUAAUUAUCCUGUAUUUUUGCAAGAGGUUGUUUUCACGGCUCGAACUCGUGACCUCCUAAUCAUAUGGCAUCAACUUUAAAAGUUACGCAAAAGCUUCAUUCAUUCUUCAAAUAACAAGAAGGAUAACAUUACUGAGGAUGGGACAUGUACAAGAACAAAACCGAACUACAUUUCCUUUAACAUUUCUCUUCAUUCAUUUUCCUAACCUUUUCUUUUGGUCUUUGAGAAGAAUUGUUAGCUAAAUUUUGGAAACUAAAAAAGACUACCUAAAAGCCCUUAAUAACCAAUUAAUUCAAAAAUAGAUUGCUAGAUUGAGAUUUUCCAAUAUUCAAUCAUGACAUAUGUUUAUUCAAGUAAUGCUAAUUAGGUCUGCAGAAAAGUAGAACACACCACUUAGUGCCGGAUAUUUUCACCUCUAAUCAUUAUAAACAUUGAAAAAUCAAACAGAUAAAAAAAUACAUAAUAAAGGGGAAACAAAUCCUCCUCUUUUUCAAAACUUUUUCCUUUACACUCCCUACAAAAACUUAUCAUUUGUAUAAUAACCUAUUGACGAUAUUGUAUAUAUAUUAAACAAUUCAUUAAAUAUAUACAAAUAUUUAACUCUAAAUUUAUAAAAACUCUUAAACUUUAAAUUCUAAAUCAGCCUCUACUCGUUGUUGUUUGCAGAAGUGAUCAAUAAAGAUGUUUUCCAAUCUUUCCCUCUUCUUCACUCUUCCAAAUUCCAUAAAUCUGAAUUCUUUGACAAAUUCUGGCCAUUGGAAUUCUUGAAAUUCAUUAUCAUAAUUUUAUCUUUGAUAUCUCCAAAGCCUUGAUCACCAGCCGAAACAAAAAAUAAGAAUAUACCCGGUAUAAUCUCACAAAUAAUAUCUGAAAAUGAUAUAUAUGUGUGCACAAAGCUUGUUUUCAAUAGACCCUCGUCUCAAACAAAGCAUGGUCAGCAGCUGAAACAAAGCUUUACCCAUUUGAAAGGGACGAAAAAACAACAUCUCUGAAGUUUCUUUUUUCACAAAUAUUCACAAGAAAUGAUUGAAUUAUUUGCAAAUCAAUCAGCUACAGAAUGACUUUGCCAACACAAAAGCAUGAUGAUACAACGUUUAAGGAUGUAGAAUCUUGUUUUCUGUUGCUUUACCAUAGUCAACGACCGUUGUCGGAAAGUAGAUUUCCGGCAGGUUUUCCGACGAGACUCCGACGAGGGAAAGAAGUAUGAAAGGGUCAUUGUGUUUGGCGGCUUUAGAUGGAAGUUUGUUUGAAGAAGGAAGAGUGAACAAUUAAUUUUGGUAGUUAUAUUUAUAUAAGCUAAGAUUUCAGCCACCUCGGUCCCAUCGGAGAGUUUUUUUAUUUUUUCUUCUUUUUUCAUGGUCCCAUUCCCACCCACGGAAAAGUUUCUUCUUUUCUUUUUCUUUUUCUUUUUUAAUAAUCUAGUUUUUAUUUUUACGGCAAAUGGCCAAAUAUACCACUCUACUUUCGAAAAUGAUCUAAGAAUACCUCUCGUUAUACUAUUGGAUUAUCU